rnacentral:lncRNA from 1 species
UCAACUUCAGGACUCUCUCUCCCUUCACUACCAUACCUCCCCAUCUCACACCUUAACUCCUCAACUCGCACACAUUUACGAGUUAAUUUUGUAGCAGCAUGGCUGGUUCAAGUGCCAUGCUUGUGCAGCUCACUCUGAUGAUUGCUUUACUCUCAUGUUCAAUGGCUCAAAGUCCAUCGGCAUCACCUACAAUGUCACCAAGUUCAAGCACCACCCCCUCUCCCGUUGCCACUCCACCACCAACCACCAUGACCCCUCCCCCAGCCAUGACUCCAAUGUCAGCACCCGCACCGUCAACCCCUAUGGCUCCUACCCCUUCAACCACUCCAAUGGCCCCAACCCCAUCCUCUGCCCCAGAGGCACCAACCCCACCGGCACCCGCACCUCCAUCUAUGACGCCUAAUUCAGCACCUACAACUCCUCCUUCAGCCAUGACCCCUAGGGAGGGCCCACAAGCUCCUCCUUCAGCCAUGACCCCUGGGGAGGGCCCACCAGGUUCCGCUGCUUCUACACGUGAAUACACCAUGUCCUUGUUAGCAUUGCUUGGAGGAGUUGCACUCUUUGUUUAGGACACUUCUUUUUUUGGUUUCGUUUACUUUGAUGUAGAUUAAGCUAUUUAUUUGUGUAUUCUUUUUUCAUUGUUCCAUUUUCUCUCUCUUCUCGUCUAUUCUUGGAGCUGAUGCUUUCGUGAUUUGUGAGGGCUCUUUUGUAUCAUUUUUACUUAGCUUAAUAAAGAGAGACUUUGUGAUUCUUGUUUGUGUUACUGUAAUCUUUAGUCCAAUUAUUUUCUUCUUUUUUUGACUUCUUUAGAAUUAAAUCAUGUUAGACUAAUUAUUUUGCUGAAAAAAAUGGAGAAAAUAAUACUAGAAAAUAGUGGAAAAAAGGCUGGUUACUUUUAAGGCCAUUCCUUACUCUGAUAUUAACACACACGCACAAAAAAGCUUAGAACUGGGAUUAUUAGUCCUAAUGGACUAUGGUUUUAUUAUUAAUAAAUAAGACAUUGGUUCACAAACUUUCAAUUAGUCUAAUCAAUAUGGAAGUACUUAAAUUGAAUUAUAAGAAUUUAAUCCUCUAAAUAUGAAAAAACAACUUAAAAAAAUAUAUAUAUAUAUACUCAAUGUUGGACAUAUACAUGUAUACCCAACACUACCGGAGUCCGAUCAACAUGGCUAAAAGUAAGAUGAGUGUGGUUGGUUGAAGGGUGGAUAGAAAGAUGGAAUAGGCGCAAGUAAUUGGUGGUGGUGAAUGGGUGAUGCCGAUAAAUAUUGUCAGAGAAAAAGUUAGGUGCUAGCUGUUAUAGACUUUGGGUGGAUGAUGGAAGAGUAAUUAACUUUUGGGGAUAAAAAGGAGAGUUGCCAUUGCCUUUGGGUUCUCUUUUCGACGGAGACCGGAUAAUAUUAAACAUGAUUUAAAGAAAGAAAAAGAAAAAUUAACAUGUAUGCAUGGAUUCCUCAAAAGCUAUAUACAGAUUAUUAUUAAUGAAUCAAAUUUUAUAUAAAUAUAAAACACUUCAAAUAUGAUGAUUAUAUGACAGUACAUGAAGGAUAUUGGAUGCAUGAGUUGGUAGGUCUAAAGGGCGAUGACUUGGGAUAGAAUGGGAGGGAUGUAUGAUUGGCUGUUGUGGGCCUAAAACUCAAAAGACAAAACAAUUGCUAGCAUGAAAGGGAUGUGCACAUGGGGUGCUUGCCUUGCCCUCACCGACAAAUACAUAUUCUUAUAGUCUUAUAACCUAUGUAAACUUCAGAUUAAUUGGAAUUAACUAUCAUGAUAACAGCAUUGGAUACCUAUUAAAGAUGUAACUGUAACAUGUAAUAAAGAAGCAUUGCACUAAAAACAUCUUUAUCUUAUCCUCCUUUUCUUGAUGAAUAGAGAACACGAUCUGUUCCAGUUAAAUCUAGACAGACUCGGUCUGGGUUCUUUCCCGUGAGUCCACAUGUUUAUUGGAACCAUUAUCCCUCUUCACUUGCUAAGAAUACAAAAAUUCACGGACUUGCCAGAAUCAUGAAAAAGAAGCAGCACUCAUUCUUCCGUGGUCUUUGCCUCUUCGGGGAAUCCUGUUUGAGGAAAACAAGAUCAUUUACGAAUAAUUUAACUAAGAAUAGAAGGUUGUAUGAAUUGUGUUGAAACCAUUUUUAUUUUAGAAAAACGGGGAUCGACUUUAAAAAAGAGGUACAGAGUUGGACCCGACCUUUUUUGAGGUGUAAUAGGAUCACCUUAACGUUGAUCAUUUUAAUAAAAUAUUUGAUUUAUUAAAAUAAUAAUUUUAGGUCUACAAAAAUUGAGAAAAAGGGUUCGGGAGUCGGUUAUGCACGAGGAAGGGUUAGCACCCCGUAACGCUCAAAAUUAGUACAAAUUGAUUAUUGAAUGUCCUAUCGUUGAAAAUUUAGGAAAAAAAAUUAAAAUACGAUUCCUUUAAAAAUGUAGGAACAAUUCGAAUUAAAUUUUAAGGUUCACUUGCUCUAAAGAAAUAAUACCACAUCGAGCACGUUAGGACACGAUACUUUAAGCCUCCAAAGACUGAGAUCACCUCAUUAUUUCCAAAACACACAACGAAUUCUUAAAAGGUUACUCCGUUAUUUGGCAAAACUAAAAAAAAAACCCAACACGUUAGGGCACGUUUUCCCGAAUUUCUCAAAUACGAAACAUUGCCUUGUUUUGAAGAGUUUCCCAAAUAAGCAAUUAUGAAAUCGGCUCAAAAUAUUCGUUUGGGUUAUUUUAGGGUGAAAAGCAAUCGAUGUUGGGCAAAAAUGCGGGAUUUUAAAAAAAAUCAUGAUACAAUAAUAAGAAACUAAAACAUAAUUAUAAGCAUAAAACAAUAAUAGGUGGAUACAAAUUGAAAACAAAAAAUAACACAUACACCGGACUACAUGAAAACUAGGAACCAAUAUAACGCAAAACAAAAACCAUAUGAACAAUAUACAAAGGGAUAGCAUAUAUUAGAAUUCAAAAUAGCUUAUAUGUAUAAAAAACGGAUAAUAUAUAAAUGAUUAUUAAAGUAUAUAUUAAAAUGAAUAAUAUGCAACAUAAUUUCAAAUGAAACAAAUUGACUUAACAAAUGACAUACAUAUUUAUAUGAAAAUAAUAAAUGAAAACAAUGUAUAUACAAAGAUACCAAAGUAAUUAAAAUAAAUAAAAUAUGCAAUUUAAAACAAGACCCUCAAAAGAAAGCCAAAUUCUAUAUGAAUAAUUUUAAAGAAAAUAUAUAUAUAAUAAAUUUAGAAGAAAAUAUUUACAUAAAAGGAAGUCAAUAAUGUACACUUAGAGUAAAAAUAACUUUGUAUAAGUUACGUAUAUACAUGAAAUAAAGAAAACUUAAUAUAAGUAAAGUAUAUAAAUACAAAAUAAUAUAUGAAAGUAUUUUUGAAAAAAAAAAAUAUGCACAUGAAAAAAAAUUCUUAUUUUGUUAAAAUAAUAUAUACAAAAAUAUAUACAUCAAUUUUGUUUAACAAAACUAUAUGUUAAAAUAAUAUAUUCUUAUUUUGUAGAAAAAAUGAAUAAAAAACUUAAUUGGAAGAAAAACAAAAUUAAAGGGACAAUUUAUGAACAAAGCAAACCAUUUAAACAGAAUUUUGGGCCAAAGUAAAACGCGCUCCAACGUUUGGGGUCUAAAAAUGAAAAUUAACCAAACCCCAAAACAAAUCGUUUAAGCGAGGACUAAGAUGAACACUCGUGCAAAUUCCUGGGACACUUUAAAAGAUUAAAAGAAACCAUGGAAAUGGCCCUAUCGAACGCUACUGCAAAAGGGAAGGAUUGGCCGCGAAAUUACCCAUUUAAGGUAAAAUGCGUGGACCCUACCUGGCAAAUGGGUCAACACGCUUCCCCCCCCCCCCCAGCCCACAACCCACGCUCCCCAGACGAAUGGCCAAGCUUCAACUGCCCCAAAAUCCGACUAUUGCGAGCGGAGUCAAGCCCUCCGACGACGUGAGCGUGAUGCAACUCUGGUGAGUCUCCCCCUUUCUCUUAUAUCUUAGUAUAUCCGAUGAAAAUGAAAAGAAAAAAAAAACGAAAUCAAAUAGCAAUAACCACCUUUGAAUCUCUCUUGGCUGCUUUUUUUUUAUGUGUAUUUGAUUUUUGAUUUGUAACCAAAAAGAAAUCGUGUCCUAUUUCUCUGAACAAAAAAAAGGAACCCCCCCCCCCCCAAUUUCAAUUAAAAAUCGAAGGCUUUAUAGCCAAAUACAAACGGUUCCUUGCUAUUCUCCAUUUUGCAGGUACGUGGAGACGUGAAGAGGGCGUUCACGGGCGUGUAAACGUGAAAUAUGGGAGGUGGAAGCGUGGGCUGAAGCAAUGGCGCACGUAGAGGCUAGCACGAAGGCAGCAGCAGCGCAAGGGGGAAAGGGAAAAGGCUCUGAAAACUCCAAAAACCUGGGCCUACUGGGCUUGGUUCAUUUCAUUCAGUAUUAGGCCAUUGUAAAACUUUUUUGGGCGUAUUUAAUUUGGGUUUAAUGCAAUAGGUUUGUAUUUUGGGCCGGGCAAAAUAUGAGUUUUACAAAUUGGAUAUAUAUAUUCAUCAGUUUGCACUGUUUCUUGAAAGAAACAGGAAUUUUUCUGAACAUCUAUAUAAAAAAAAUAAAACUUGCAAUUUAGAUAAAAAUAAUCAAACCAAUAAUGGAGUUUUCAUGGAAGUUAUAACAAAGAAUUGCAUCAAGGGGAAAAAAAAGGAUGUCAUUGAAAGAUUACAAUCUACAAAAAUGAGUGAAUUCCUCUGGAUGUUAGUUUAAGUAGCUCUAUCAUCUGUUUGGUAAAAUCAUGUCUAUUGUUUAAUCAGCUCGUUAAGUUGGUCAUCGACGGAUUUGAUUUACUUUGGUAUCCUUCUCCUUUGACUCACACGUCAUGAUGGUUAACACCACUUCUGCAUUAUCAGGUUGGCGUUGCCAGAACUUAAAAUCCUGUUCCAGUCGGAAAUGUUAUCGAAUAAGAACUUUGGUAUAACACUAGUAUGGUUUUUGGUUUACUUAUCAUACUUUGUCAUCAUCUAUUUCUCCUUUGUUUCCUUCGGCAAUAGAAGCAUUCCGAACAUGGAGAUUUAAUUUUACUAGAAUAACUAGCUUGGAGCUUGCUUGGGGGUAUUUUCAGGUCUUCCAUGAGUAUCUGACGAAGCUUCAGAUUCUCCUCCAUAAGCUCCUCGAUGAUUCGUUGAUGUUUCAGCACCUAAAUGGAAAUAUAAGUUUCAGUAAAAAUGUAACGCAAUCCUAAUAAAAUGAGAAGAAUUAAAUGUAUCUCGAGAACCUUGCAGCAUUCAUCAUGAAUAAAUCUUUUUGACACAAAUUUUAAAUAUGGCAACCAAUAAACUCCGAUAUUCAGAAAAUUUUACAUCUAAUUACAAUUGCUUUCGGCUAAUAUUUAUGUCUUCUCCCACUAAAUAAUCAAUAAUCAUCUCAGCGAAAACACCAGCAAACAAAAUGGCAUCAGAUUGGGGUGAUAAAAUAAAUAAGGAGCAUUACCAGUUGAAGUAAGUUGUUUUCAAAGCGCAACCGUCCAGCCUACAAAACAACCAAACCCAAGUGAAUUAUUUCUGCUGCUUACUGCUAUCACCAGUGACCAAAAUAAGAGCAAAAAAAUAACUGCUUGUUGCACGUUAAAGCAUGUUCCUUUUGAAAUCUUAACAUCCCCAACUACUGUUCCAAUUGCUGGAGUGAAAUGAUGUUUCUCUCCCGUUAAGUGUAUAAAAUGAACUGAUCUCACCUCAAGCCUUAUGUUGCACAAAUUUAGCCUACAGGCACCAUAAUAUUUUAUAAAAUUGACAUUCCACAUGCAAACUCAAUGCUGGAAUGCCGAUAAGAGAUAGAAAAACUCUCAAGCAAUGAAUUACAAAGCCAAAUGCACAAGCAUAUAGGUAUCAUUGCAUACCAGUUCACUUAGGCUAGUCUCAUCUUCCUUCAACAAUGGAUUUUGCAAAAAGCUAUUAAGAACUUUUUCUGUUCGAGUCCCAAAUGAUGUUUCAUUUGGAGGUUCUGAUGAAAAUUUUUGAUAAGCUGAACCUCUGCUUGUAUUUCCAGGUCCAGGCAAGCCUUGAGAUGUAGUAUCUGGUAGAUUUGGCAGCACCUGCUUCAAUUUUCCUUGCGGGCCUUGAAUAGAGGGUUCAUUUGUUGUGGUCAAAGCACUUUGAAAGGAUGCAGGAAAAGCACCUUCAUUGAAGGGCAAGUUGGAAGAUAUUCCAAACUUGUUCAUCAAUUUAGUCAUCGUUUGCUAGAAGUUUCAGAUAAAAACUUAGUUACAAAUAAUGCAAAAAGAAGAAGAGGAAAUAUAGAUAUUAUAUAAGAAAUUAUACGUACCAUAACACAACAUUGAAUUUGAUUCACCACCCCAGGCUUCACAGCAAGUCCUGCAAUACAAACAUUUUUUUUUUCAGUCAAAAAAGAUGUAAUUUAUUUUCAUUCAUAUGCUAGACAGAUAAUUAAUAUACAAGAUUAUUUGUACUGUGAGUUUGCAACAGGAAGAUAAAGAUAUCAAUGUCCGUUAAGGCAUAAAGAUAAAAGUACAGCAUAUUUUGACAAUGAUGCCCCUUAUGCAGAUGCUUUAAAUUCAAAAGAAGAUGAAAGACCAAACGAAUUUUCAUGUUGCUACAAAAGACAUGUCUGAGGUUGCUAAAAUCCCCACCACAAUCGGCUAUUUUGCAACAAUCAUAUGAGCAAGUAACGAAACUAAACGACCUGAUCUUGAAAUUUAUCUGAAUCACAUGCUGAUGACACUAACACAUUUGUACAAAGUAUAAAAUGUAGUAACCAACAAGGAAAUCAAGAGAAACUAAUCAGUAGUUUCUCUAAUCUUGAAACAUUUAGGCACACAUAUUGGUAUGCAAUACUUAAUUGAGUAGUCGGACUCAGACUUUGCAAUAAAUGUAUGCGACACCAUACCUAAUACAAGUGCCUCAAUACAGUAAUACUUAUUGAGUUAAUUAUUUUCAAUAUUAUAGCAUACCAAUGCCAAAACCAUGGCCAAGACCGACUCCACAUCCGAUCCCUGCUUCAACGUUCUUAGCACCCAACUUCCUUAACUAAAAACAUGAGAAAGACUAGAUCAGCAGAUAGUGAAAUAUCAAACAAACAAAAUCAACAACAAAAAGAAAAAAACUGAAAAAUGAGUCUGGAAGUUAUAUAUUCGACUUACAGCACCAUUUACAUGUCUGCUAACACCAGAAAACGCAUCAGUUGCUCCUCUAGUUGCACUCAUAACUUCGCCCAGCAUAGGUAUUCGACCUGGUAUAUACCACAAGCAUAAAAUCAUAAUCAGAAACACCAGCCAAACUUAUAUCAGCUAACAAUAACAUAGUGCACUUCAUCAUAGAAGAUGAUCAUCAAUCAUAAAGGUUUUUCCCUACUCCAUUCAUUUCUCGUUCCAAACACUAGCCAUUACCCAAUUUGUUCAACACAACAAAUGAAGAGGAAGUGAUAGAAAAACUGAUAAUACAGAGUUUCUUAUGAAGCAAAUUGGGAUAAACACAAUCAUUCUUGGGACUAAACGAACCACCCCAGUGCAUCCUCACAAUUCAAGGAUUUAGAUUUUUUUUUUUUUUGCAUAAAAAAUGUACUAGAAAAGAAAUGAAUGAGCAGUACCGAGGUUUUUAGGUCGACCCACGCCUAUACCAAUACCGCAACCAACGCCAAAGCCAGUAAAUACUUGACCCACUUUCAAAACAAAUGGAUUCUCCAAUCUGAUUCCUUCAAAGCCCUUUCUUUGAUUGGUUGCUACCACCAUUUUAGUGUCACUGUUUUUGAUAUUACUUUCCAUUACUAAUCUUUAGAAACUCUCUCUUUCUCUUCUUCUUGCAAAGUCCCCAAGAAAACUGUCUCUCAUAUGGGGAAUUUUGACAUGUUCUUUUUUUGUUUGAAGAAGCAAAGGAAUCUGUCUCCUUUACUUCUUCCCGUCUCUCUGCAACUAAAACAUAGGCAUUGGGGGUAGAUAUCUUCUAAAUUGUCUGUUUCUUUGAGUUAAUGGGUGGACUGGAUUUUUGUCUUUCAAUUACAUUUGGGCUAAAAGGCUUUCUAAGAAUGGGCCUACCUCCUUUUACGUAGUGAAUUGUGGGUUUGCUUUUAAACUCUUGAGCCAACUGUGAUCAAACUUCGACUCAGUUAAAAAAUUGGGCGUUUUAUCUAAAUAUGUCCUUUAAAUAAUAUAAUUAUCGAAAUGGGUCGUUUUUUGUGUUAUUUACUGGACUAGGCUGUUUCCCACGAAAACGCGUCCACGUAAGCGCGAUUUCGUAGUACGUGUCAGCAAAAAAGCCUCCUUGAGGGCGCACUUUGUUGAAGUGGACAAAGUGCUCCCCCAGGAGAGCGUUUUGCCCGUGUAACGGUCAAAUUUUUGACCGUUGGCUUCCAACGGUCCAAAAAAAAAACCUAUAAACCCUCCAAAUCAUUUUUUCACACAAAUCUCUCAAAUUUCUAUAAUUCUCUCAAAAUUCCUUUCCCUUUAAUUAUUUUUCACACAAUUCUCUCAUAAUUCUCAACAUUCUUUCAAUAUUCCCUUAAAAAAUCUAUCAAAUUUCAUUAAAAUUUUCUCAAAAUUCUAUCAAAUUUCUUUCAAAAUUCUGUUUAAAUUUUUUUUGAAUUUAAAUUAAAAAAAUCUGAUCGUGUUAGCAAUGGCCGGAGAGUUAAUCCGUCUCGAUAAUAAGCACAUCUCCGUUGAUCAAAUGACAAUGGUAAGUGAUAAUUUUAAAUUUUCAAUACUAUUAGAUAUUAUUUUAAUUUAUGCAAAUUUAAUUAAAUUUGAAAUACUAUUUGAUAUUUUAUUACUGCUUGAUUUUUUAUUUCAUUUAUGAUGCUUGAUUUUUUAUUUCAUUUAUGAUGUUUGCAUUAAUUAAUUUAUGCAAUUUUAAUUAAUUUUUGUUUGAUAAAUUUUUAUAAUAGUCUGUAGAUCAGGUGUUGUAAUGCUACAUCCGUAAUAUGUUUGGUCCUCCAUCGCCAUUGAUUGAGAAUUACUUGCGAGAAGCGGGAUUUUGGCACGUGGCCACGAUAGGCCGGGGGUGCAAGUUGGACCCGAAACUAAUCAGUGCAUUGAUAGAGAGGUAGAGACCUAAGACGCGGACUUUUCAUCUUCCAUGCGGAGAGUGUACUAUCAUUCUGGAAGACGUGCAUUUGCAAUUAGGAUUGCCGGUGGAUGGGUACGCAGUCACCGGGUCUGCAUCAUCUACUGAUUGGGGAGCCAUAUGCUACGAGCUUUUGGGUGCUAUACCUGAUAAAAUUAACUGAGGUCGGAUCGAGAUGGGAUGGUUACGAGACACAUUCCCGGAGCCGGAUAAUGAUUCGACUGAACUCGAAAGAAUACGAUAUGCUCGGGCAUAUAUUCUUGAGAUGAUUGGAGGUUAUUUGAUGUCGGACUUGUCAAGAAACCUCGUACAUCUGAGAUGGCUGCUGAAACUUGUAAAUUUUAGAGCAGCCGGCGAAUUGAGUUGGGGGUCUGUCGUGUUGACAACAUUGUACAAGGAAAUGUGUGGGGCGACGCGACCGAACAAAGCCAAAAUAGGAGGUUGCCUAUCACUACUGCAAUCAUGGGCACGAUUUCGCUUUCCAUUCUUAUGUCCUCGAGUCGACCACCCAUAUACAUUUCCACUCAUAACGAGGUAAUUUUUAUAUUAAAUUUUACAAUUAUUACGUAGAUUUAGAAUAUAAUUUUAUGCUAAAAAUUAAUUUAAUUAGGUGGAACCAUUCGACGAGUUAUGUCGGAAUACCUACCUCUCUCGAAGAUAUAUGACUUCUAUUAGACCAACGAUCGGAAGUAGAAGUAAGUAUUAAAUAAAAUAUAUAUACAUAAUAAAAUAGUCGUUUCGUAUUUAGUAUUAUGUAUUAUGUAUAUAAGUAAUAUUUUUAUCAUGUUCAUAUAGUUUCAAUGGACAGCAUACGAGGAUCCGGCAAUUCGGGCAGUAAUUCUGGAUGAAUUCUUUCAAAAUCCAAACGUUUGGCAUGUGAAGGUCCCAUUGGUGAACUAUGCCACCGUGGAGAUGCACCAGUCAGAUAGAGUAUUGUGGUAAUUUGGAUUCCGACAACCAAUUCCCGUGGCACCUGAGGUGUUUGAUGACGAGCACAAAGUUGACUUACGGCAACUCCAUACGGAUUGGCCUAGAUUCUGGUCACACUAUAUCGAAAUGUGGGAAAAUCGGUAUGAUUAUAUACCUACUCGGGAACCGAUCAUUGUUCUAGAGUUAGCGUGCGUAGCGGAAUACAUGUCAUGGUUUAGGAUCCAUGACAACCCAUAUUUAUUGUCGGAAGAGGAGAGGCGACAACAAAUUCGUGCUUAAAGGGAACGACGGGGCCCUUUAAAUCUAAGAAGAAGGGACGACGACGCAGGCCGAUCAACAGCACCCACACAAUCAUCAGGCCCAACAAUUCAGCGGACGACACCCACAUCACAGCCUUUUCAGAUUAUGCCAUGUGCAUAUCCUAGCCCUUAUAUGUAUCCUAACCCUUAUAUGUUUCCUUUUCCUAGUCCUAUGGCAGGUUGGAAUCUAUAGCCCGUAUCAUCUCCGUUCUUGAUUACUACGAGUCGACCUCCAAUCUAUAGGCUGCCUUCGCAUAAAGGAUCACACGAGGCACCAUCGGGGAGCUCUUCUUUUUACCAAUCUCCACUACCUUACGGGAUUCAAACACCUCCGCCAUGGGUGACUCAAACACCACCGCAAUCAUUAUUCUAUCAAGGUGGUUCAUCCUCCCAACAGCCACAACCAGAUCUCUUGCCGGAGGAACCACAACCCUGGCCGGAAGCUGAUCGAAGGAGGAAUCCACCACGGACCCGUCGACGACCUCCAUGUGGCAUUGAUUCUGACCACCACGAACAUUGAUUUUUUAAAUAUAUUUGUACAAAAUUUUUUAUAUUGUUUCAUUUAAUAAAAAUAAAAGUUCUUUUGAAUAAGACAAUUGUAAUAUAACAUAGUUUCAUUUAAUGAAAUAUAAAUAAUACAACAUAGUUUUUUACGACAACUAUCAACUAUUUCAAUUUGGACAUGAUCUACUUGUACGGCCUGGGUUCCUACACCAUCCGCACAACUUCUGAUUAUUGGUUGUUUCUCGGAUAUCCAUAUUGGUACGUAUUCUAGUCGAGUAAGGUCGGCCUUUCGGUUUGCGACGCAAUUCUCUAUCCGGUAGCAGCUUAAAUGGAGAAAACGAUACAAACGACCAGUUACGUUCAUCUGGGACAGGUGGAAAUACGUGUUCCACACGUUGUACAUGGUUUCUAGUUUGUACACUUCGUCGACGUAGCUUAUGGGAUCUAGACGGAGAUUCUAACAAGCUGCAAUUACAUGAGCGCAUGGAUAAUGAAGUGCGUCAAACCUCCCACAGUCACAAGUCCUAUUUCUCAAGUGUACACGAUAUUGCCUGCCAAUAAUACCUUCGUGCGGUCUGUCAAACUCAGUCACACGAAACCAUAGGUUGUCUCGGUCAUGACAGACUGUGUGUAUGGUGUUCGCCCAUGCUUUCGCCUUGUUAAUUUCUUGCAAUACCUUUGCGCACCAUACAUGGCCUCCUUGCAUUUGGCCUUUAUAACUCGCUGCUCGCUUCAGAAAUAGUACCGCUAAACUAAAAUAUGUCUCUCUAGCAACCGAUGUUAUCGGCAAAUGACAUGUUCCUUUUAGAACAGAAUUUAUGACCAUAUCAUAGGCCACCGUUGUAUGCUUGUGUCCACUGUUCGAAAGAUAUGUUACAGAGGUAGUCUACGCCUUCUUCGUUAACUGAACGCAAAACCUCUAAUAUCUCAUGAAAACGGUCCUUACUUAUAUCAUACCCUGCCAAUAUAAGUUGAUAGCAAAAAUUACAUACCACUUUUCCAUUUAAAAUAAAUUCAAUAUUACAAACGAAAUUACAUUAAUAGAUAUUAAAUACCCAUAUUGGUCACUUGUCGUUUUUCACUUAUAAAUCGAAAUUGCCCGUAGUAGUUGGACGCAAUGUGCCUUAGGCAAUACCGAUAGUGUGUGCGAUGCCAUAGGCUUCCCUAUUACUCAAUUGCGGCUAGUAUUCUGAUGCCUCAAUCCGAUAUGACGCAGAUAUUAGGUUGGGGGCAGACAUGCCUCCUUAACCUAUAAAGCAAGAACUCCCUGUAACACCCCAAACCCGACCCAGAUGUUAUGGCCGGAUCCGACAUGCCACAUUAAAAUGUUCAAAAUAUUUCAGGUUGUUGUUCUAGAAAAACUUACUUAGUGGUUUAAGAGAUAAUUUCAAUGCAGGUUAAGGUGAAUGGAAGCUGAGCACCAGGUAGGAAACCGGAAAGGAGGAGGUGAGUCUAUCGGAUUGCUUAAGCACCAAGCUCCCUUCGAAUCCAAUCCUAGACAUGCACACCGCUAUUGCCACACCUUAACGUCAUGUAUAUUUCCAGAAAACCAAUUUGAUUAAGUCCUUUUUAGGAAAAGUGAUUAAUUUUGGAAAAUAUUUUCAUUGCAGAAGCUUUACUUGUUGUCGUGUAUUUUUGAAAUCAAUUGUUGUUUUUAAAAACGCGCCCUAAAAGUUAUUCAAUUUUGACAGUUAAAUAUAAGUAAUACCUAUCUUAAUUAAACAUAUUAAAACCAUAAAAAUAAUUAAGCGGCCUUAUUACAAUUAAAGAACCCAAAACCUUAAACGUAAAUAAAAAGGAUGUCCAGGUCACUAGUAGAAAAUUAACUUGCAGAACGUGUGGCCACUCCGAAUCUCUCACAGCUCCAAGCCCACUAUGGUUGGGGAUUACCUGUGUGGAUGAAAAUAAAGGGGUGAGUUUGGGGAAACUCAGUGUGUAAAUUAACCCAACCAUAGCCUAUAUCGGUUCAAACCACAGAGAACAGAUUAAGUUGGCCUUAGCCCAGAACAAAAGUCAGAAUAGAGCCCAUAGACCCAGAACAGAACAUGACAGAUAUCACAUGGUUAUGCAAAACCCAACCCAUAUCCAACCACAUGCACUCCCAUACCAACCUUCCACCAUGUGGAGAGACUACUCGACCCACCCAAUAGCUACACGCUACAAAAAUAUGCAGCAUGACUGCCAGAACAGAUAAUGUGACAGAGUCACCAGAUACAGAUAAUCGUGGUAGAGUCACCAGAACAGAUAUAUGUGACAGAGUCACCAGAUCAGAUAAUUGUGGCAUAGCCACCAGGACGCUUCCUCCAUAAUAUAACCCAUAUCCCCAUGCAGCAGAUAUACAAUCAUGGUAUACAUCAUACAGAAUUAAAUCAUCAUGCUUUUCAGUCAAAAGUAAUUCCUAGGGGUAUAAUGGUAAUUUUGUACCUAGGGGUAUAUUAGUAAUUUCCAUACAUAGGGGUAUUCAAGUAAUUUAUCUAUUCAUAAGGUUUCCAUGCAUAACAUAGCCAUUUACGUACGACCAGAAACACUUACCGCGUUUUCUUACCGAAUUGGGCCCGUUGGCCCACUAUCCCGAUUUUGGCCCAUUAAGCCAAAAAACACCGAAAUGCAAGGAAUCGUGCACUUUGCAAACUUAUCAUUUUAAUUUACCACAUACAUCAAACUAUUAAUCUCACGAGCAUUCGCACACUCGCAUGUUUUCAAAAUACCGACUUUUUGGCAUUUCGGCUUUUCAGCUUUUACCGAUCUAGUCUAUGAGAUGAUGUCAGUUACACACCUGAUUUAUGACGAUACAUUGGCGAGAUCCACCUACGAACUGCCUACAAUUGGAUUACUAACAUGUCAAUCUAUAUAUCAAAAACAACUAUGUAUUUUAACCCAUUACCAUAUUCGGUUAGCACAACCUUAGAUCCCAGAGUUCCUUACCUUUUGCCGAAAUAUGGGUUAGAUAUGGAGAGCCAACUGAAUAAGUUCUCAAGCCCUUUGCUGUAUAUCCCCUUGGCCACGCUACCGUUUACACAACCAACAGAAAAACGCAAAUCCCUUAGUCCAAUAACGCUAGCCACCCUAAGGGUUUCGACUUUUCCUUUCUAAAUACAAUGAGACUAAUGAUAGUUGUUCGAAAGGCUUACCUAACAUCAAUCGGCUCAGAAGAAUGUUCCUAUCUACGAUUCUUUUAUCUCCAAUCCACCGCAGUCACAAGAAGAAGCAGAUUCAAACAACCAAAGAUUCGGCCUCCUUCACCUCCGGUAUGUAGGUUUUCUGUUUUUAGAGAAGUAAGAGCAGAAAAGUUCGGCUACCACAAGAUUCGACUAUUGAGGAAAAUUGAAGAUGGAAAAAUAAAGGAUGAGAUAGAGGAAGAAGGGUAUAGGUUCGGUUAUGGAAAAGAAAAGAUGGAAGAAGAAGGAAAAAGAUGAGAGGUAGUAUUCGGCUAUGGAGAAAACGGCACAAUGAGGGGUUCCAAGUUUGGCUAUGGGAAGAAAAAGGGAACAGAUGACCGAAAGAAAGAGAAGAAGAUGAGAGAAUUCGGUUCUUGAAGAGGAGGAGUCGGCAGGUGUAGGGUAUAAGUUCGGCUUCUAUCAAAAACAAAAAACAAAAAAAAUUCGACAGCCACCCUUCCCAAAAGCCAAAAUUCCCAACACUAAAUGACCUACCCGAAUUUCCUAUGCUAGAUGCCCUUGGCUGACCAUCUCUUGCUCCUUGAUCAGCUCCUAAAUCUUCUCCCCUUAUCAGCUCCUAAAUCUUCUCUCUUAUCCCCUCCUUACUCAAUCACCUGAGCAACUCAAACUCCUCCUGACAGUCUUUUACUUGAGUUCCAUUGCUUACCCUUCCUAAACAUAAAAAUAAUAAUUCCCUUAAUAUGCUGUCAUUGUGACUUGAACCUCAGCUCUCCCUAGCAUCCACACGCCACUUUUAUAGCCUUCCCAGUGGCGUCACAUGCCACUUUGCCACCUGCUUCCUUGUGUUUUAUUUUACCCAAUUAAUACUUAAAAGCCCAAUUAACCAGAACCCCUUUUUCUUAUGGAACUAAAAUUAACUAAAGUUACCGAGUUUUAACUUAAGCUUGGGUCUUCUAGAGGCCCACUAACAUAAUUAACCUACACCAAACAGACAAAACACAGCAAUUUUAAAAAUCAUUGAAAAUCACAGAAAUCCCGAAAAUCCUGAAAAUUGGGGCGUUACACUCCCAAUCAUCAGCUGACUCCCCCGGUGUUAUUGCAAACGCAACUGGAAGGAUUCUCCCACUACCAUUCUGUGUCACAGCUACCAAUAGCCGAUGGGUAUAUCUACUGUACAUAAAGGUACCGUCAAUUUGUACUAAUGGCUUGCAAUAUAAAAAUGCAUCUUGGCAUUACUUAAAGGUCCAUAACAGACAUUUAAAUACUUGGCAUCCAUGGAGCAAUCGGUCGUUGUAGUACGCAGGUUCGGUUUCAAGGUUUGUUACGCAACCUGGGACAUAUCUCUCCAGCACCUGACACCACUGCCACACUUUAUUAUAUGAAGCGUCCCACCCACCAUGAAUCUUUUCCAACGCCUUCUGCUUAGCUAUCCAAGCCUUGUGGUAAGAGGGUGUGUACCUUAACUGGCUACGAAUAUUGGCAAUUAAGAUCGACACUGAAAUUUUGGGAUCAGCCUUCACUGUCGGUAGUAUUAAGGUAGCUAACAUAUCUGAAUUCAUCUUGGGAUGAUCUUCUGAAACACCUGUCAACGAAGUACGUUAAAAAAUGCAACAGUACAUAAUAACAGUACCAUUAAAAAAAUCUAAACGGUUAGUGAUACUGUACUGGCAGCACAUGUAUGUGGACCUUUGUACUUUUUUAUCUCCCACAAGCCUGUCUUUUUCCUUAACGAGGCUAUGACUUUCCAUGAAGAUGUACUGUCUUGCACUGCACACUUGGCCUCAAACUUAUUGGAUUUGGAUUUAACCACGUUGUAGUUAACCCCGUUCAUGAUGCUAUGUUAUUUUAAUUUACCAAGAAAAAUAUCUUUAUUGGAAAACUCCUUACCAACUUUUAAUUCACCUGAAUCCAAUGAGGAACUUGUACGGUCACGCCUUCUGUGUGGUAGAUCUGAAAACCCCAACGCAUCAUCUUCAGAUAGAUCAACAUUAUGCAUAUGGGCUGGAGGCGAGUAUGCCUUGAAUCGUGGAUCUUCUUCUUCAUUAUUUGAACCCCAUUCAACAUCUUCAAGUAUGUUUGGAACAGGCUCUGGUUUAGAAAAUAAUGCAACUUCUGCACCAUCGGGGUCGGCCUCUCGAGGUGGAUCCGCAUCGGACUCAUUAUCUGACCCAUCAUCAUGUGCAACGUAAAAGGUCCCCUCGCCGGUGGACGUCGUAGGGAGUACAUCAUCCCUCCUUAUGGACGUUUCACAACGUCUCCAAUCAGAUGUGGAUUGCCAACCACUAUUAAUUGAUGUCAUUCCCCAGUACGUAUUUCCAGCAUCAAACAUUGACCAACUGAGGUGCAUGUCUCAUCCACUAACGGAGUGUAAUGCAGGGGUUGAGUAUUCUAUACUGCUACUAAACAUGGGCACUUCCGUGUUUUGCCACCCACUAACGGAGUGUCAGGCAGUGGUCGUAUUUUCCUCUCGACCAGCAGCAAAUGUUGAAGCUGUAAAUGCAUCAUUUGGCGAUGAAAAUUGUACAUGUAACUUAAGAUAGGGUGAUCCACUAGCGAGAUGAGUCCGCACCAUUGCCUCUAAGCUACGAGCGCCUUUGAUGUCAAAUGAAUCAUAUGUCACAGAAUCAACUGAAGCAUAAAAUCGGUAUUUAAUAGACAAAACUUUCAUUGACGUUGUUUCGAAGAUUUUACGCCUAAUUCUUUUACGAAGUUCUGUCAAAUCUAUGUUCUGGUUAAAAACCAGUCUCGCUGAGUUCUCCGAUAAAAAAACAACACCGUUCUCGGUGUUACAGACCUCACCAUCAUAGUAAAUAACAGCACUAAUACGUUCACUCAUCUUCAAUUUCUUUUCUUCUUAGCCUCUCUAAUUUUUUUGUUGUAAGUUAUGCAACCUGAGAAUAAAAUUUGGCUAAUUUAUAACCUUAUUUUUCUACGAACUACUGUAGCAAAAGAGCAUCCACGUGGGAGCUUUUUUCAGAAAUUUUGUUAACAGUGCAUCCUGCUUGAAGCGUUUUCGGCACUAUUUGUUCAGAAACGUCUACUCAGAAUUAUUUUUGCACGAACUACUAUAGCAAAAGAGCGUCCACGUGGGAGCUUUUUCCAGAAAUUUUGCUGACAGUGCAUCCUGCUUGAAGCGUUUUCGGCACUAUUUGUUAGCGUCCAUGUGAGAGUUUUUUCCAGAAAUUUUGCUGACAGUGCAUCCUGUUUGAAGCGUUUUUCGACACUAUUUUUCCAGAAACGUCUGCUCAGAAUUAUUCUUGCAGAAAUCCAAAACCUUAAAACUUAUGACAAAAAAAUUUAUAUUGCUUAUAUGUUUUUUCUAAUACCUUAAACACAACUUUAUUUUAAAAAACUAAGCCCUAAUCCCUAAUUUAAUGAAUUAACCCUAAUACACUUUAAUUUAGUAUUUAGUAUUUAAAAUUAAUAGUUAAUUUAAUGAAUUAACCCUAAAACCCUAAAUCCUAAUUCAAUUAAUUUUUUCUCGAAACCCUCAACUUAGCACAGCGCAGUAUGUAUAUAUGCUGCAAUCAUAUUAUCUUUGAGAAAUUUUUUUCUUGUAUGUAUCAAUUAACCUUAAAUUUAAUCAAUUAACCCUAAACCCUAAAUCAAUCCAUAAUUUAAUCAAUUAACCCUAAUACCCUAAACUCUAAUUUAAUAUUUUGUAUUUAAAAUUAAUAGUUAAUUUAUAUCCCAAUUCAAUUAUUUUUUUUUCUAAAACCUUAAAUCCUUAAACCUUUACAAAACCCUAACCCUAACCUUAAAAACCAUAACCCUAAAUCAAUUAAAUAAAAAACCCUAACCCUAAAAAAAGGGCAAAACGCUCCCCUGGGGGAGCGUUUUGCUGACACGUACUACGAAAUCGAGCUUACGUGGACGCGCUUUCGUGGGAAACGGCCUAGUCUAGUAAAUAAUGCAAAAAAUGGCCCAUUUCGGUAAUUAUAUUAUUUAAAGGGCAUAUAUGAGUAAAACGCCCUAAAAAAUUAUUAAUUUAUAAAAUAACAAGUAUUAUUAUGAAGGUAUUUUAUUAUUUUAUAUAAAAUUAAUAAAAAUAAAAGCACACUUAUAAUCAUAUUUGCUACUUUUUAAAUAGAAAAAUUUUUUAGUCAAUUUUUUCAAUUAAGUUAAUGUCUAGUUAAUUUGUGACAUUAAUUUAGCUCAAAAUUUAAAUUAUAUAUAUAUAUAUAUAUAUAAAAGAAGAGGUUGGGAGUAAGGGUUGUCUAGGGAUUGAAUUCAAAAUUGAUGGUGAUUGAUGUUGAUAACAAAUUCUCUCUAUUCAUGAUUCAAUUAACAAAACUGAACUUAUAUUUGAAAUUAGAAUUUUGAUUGAUUAAACUAGUUUACCUAACUAUAUAUAACUAUAUAUAACGGGGUUGAUUGAAUUAGUGUUACAAUUUGACGAAAUUACUUGAAAAAUAUUUUUAAAUGAAGUAUUGAAGAUUAAUAUGAGGGUUUUUUAUCUUUUAUUUUUAUACGAAAUGUUUAAAUAAAACAAUUAAAAAUAUAUUUAAUUUACCAAUUAUUAAAUAAUUUUUUUAAAAAUAUUUAAAAAAUUUUCAUGAUGCUUUCUUUAUAACUUUAUUUAUAAUUCAAUUAUUAAAUAGUUUUAAAAAAAGAAUAUUUUAAUAUUUAAUUAUUAUUCAUUAAUUUAUUUUUUAAUUAUGUUUGCACCUGGCAUGUUAAGUUUGUUAUAUAUCAAAUUAGAUUAGUUAUCAAUAUUACAUUAGCAUAAAUUAAUAGUAUUAUGCAGAAAUUUUAACAUGUGUAACGAAAUAAAAGUUGAUACGAAUUAAAUCUCAAAAAAAAUUAAAUGUGAACCUAAAUUAUAAUUUAUUAACCGAUUGUUCACCUUUUUCAAAAAUAAUUAAUUAAGUAGCUGAGAUUAGUUUAAGGUAGAAACUAUAGAUUAAGCGGCAGAAUUUAGGGAUUCUUCUUCAUUCGAUGUUUUUAUUUCUUAAUUAUUGUAGCAGAUAAUUGUCUAACAAGUUUAAUUAUAUAUAUAAAAGGACACUCUAAUUUCGUAUACUUUGAAAGCGUGCACGCACAAAUAAAUAAGGUAUAGCGAGUAAUUUGUUACACAAAGGAUUAUAGGGUAAAACCCCCCUCAAACUAUUGUAUAAUGUUCAAAUAAACUCCUAUAUUUAUUUUGAUUUUUACUCCUUAAUUUCAUCUUUUCUUUAAAAAAUAUUUAAUUAAAAUUAAAAGUCUAUUUAUCUGCAAAAUAAGCAUAAAAUAUUGUUUAAAUAUGAGUGUGUUAACUUUACAAAUAUCAUUAUUUUAAUGCCUAACGUCAUCCAUAUCUAUAUAACUAUAUAUAAAAGAAAGGUUGUCAUACCCAAACCAUGCUCCCAAGUCUCUCUCUUUUUCUUUUAUUGCAUUUUAUCAAAAUGGUUCAAUUUCAACUUUGGUGUUUUUAAUAUGUUUAAAUUUAAAAUUUAACUUUUAAUAUAAAUUGGUCUCUAUAUUAUUAAUUAGUCUACAUGAUUAAUAUUGUUAAUUUUUGAUUAAAACAUUACGUGAUUUUAUAUUAUUUAAAUAUUCUAAGAGUCUUAGAGACUAACAUGUGGUUUUGUACUCUUUUGAAGUUUACGUGGCUCUUACCAUUUCUUUUUGCGAUUGCAUAAAACAAAUUAAAUUUUAAUUAUGCUUAAUUUUGAGAUUUAAUUGCUACACAUUAAUUUCUAAUGUAAUUUGGUUAUUUCAUUUUUUAUAAUGUUAUUAAUUAGUUCGAAUAGGUAAUAUUUUUAUUUUUUUAUUAAAAUAUCACAUGGGUAUAUAUAGUUUGAAUGCCCUAGGAAUUUUAAAAACAUAUAUAUAUAUAUAGCUUUUUAUUUCUUUUAGGUUUACCUUGAUGCUUUUAUUUUUUUAAUAUUAUAAGAUAAUGAUCAAAUUUUAGUUUUAACCUUAUACUACAUUGAAACUUGGGAUUUAAUCUAUAUAUUUUAUUUUUUGACAUAAUUUGAUAUUUAUACUUUUAUAAUGCUAUUAGUUAGUCUAAAUAUUUAAUAUUGUUAACUAUUUUAAUCAAAAUGUCAGAAGUCUAUUUUUCUUAAUAACAAUAUUCUAACAAAUAAAGUUUAUUUUAUCAUGACAAGUUCAAAUUAAUAUUUUUCAAUCCAUAUAAGCAUUUUCAAUAUAAUUUUUUUAUUGUUACAUAAUUAUCAAGUAAUUUUUUUUAAAUUUUAUAAUGUCACAUCAAUGAAUUCAAUAAAAAAAAUUUAACAAUUGAAUAUAAUUUUUUAAAUUAAAAAAUUAGAGGGUCUAAAAUUUUGAAACUAAAAAUAAGAUUAAACUUUAAAAUUGUAAUCCAUAAUAACCCAACGUAAAACAAGAGAAUGCUAUUAAUAUUUAAUCAAUUCAAUCUCAUAAAUUUGGCUACCAAUUUUUAUUGGCCAUCUGUCUAUCAAUAAGGCAAGUUGGUGGGAAAUUAAAUUGCACAUGAUUUAUGAAGAAUGAAGAAAAUGGAAAAACACUCCUAACAUGCACUAAAGUUUUACGUCUAAAGGGUUUAAAAACUAAGCAUAAUAAAAUUUCACCCUUCAACUUUAUAAAAAAAUUAUUUUAAUUUUUUAUUUAAUUUUUCAUCUUUUUUAUCUUUAAACUUAUAUUUUUGUUAAAUCACCCCAAAAUGGAUAGAAAAAUUAACAUUUGUUAAUUUUAAUGAUGUGACAUACAUGUGGAUAACAUGUCAGCAUAAAAAUUUAAAAUAUUUAAAAAUACUUUUUAAUAAUUUUUUACACUUUUUAAAAUAAGUUUAAAAUAAUUAAAUAUUGACAUGUCAUUCGCAAGAUAAUCCACGUGUAUGUCACAUCAGUAAAGUAAAAAAAAUUAACUUUUCCAUUCAUUUUUGGGUGAUUUAACAAAAAAAUGCAAGUUUAAUGGCUAAAAGAGACAAAAUUUAAAUGGAGGACUAAAAUGACUUUUUUUAUAAAGUUGGAAGAUCAAAUAAGUCAUUAUACCUAAAAACUAAGGUAUUCUAGUUUUUGUUUUAAUACUAAUAUAUAUUGAUAUAAAAAUAUUUUAAUGUUUAUCGAUAUUCUUAUUUAUAUAUUUUUUAAUUUUUAAUAAAUUAUAUAUUAUAUUUACAUGUAAAAAUAUCCUAAUUAUUACGUAUUACAUCUAUGUACAUAUAUUUAUAUGUAAAUAUAAAUAUUAAAAUUAUUAAUUAAUUUCAACAAUUUAAUUUUGAACUGUUAUCAAAUAUCCGAUUAACAUGGAUUCAAAUCUUGUGACCCUAUCUUUACCUCUCAUAUUAUAUAAAAAUUUUAAUAACAUAAUUUAAUAAUUAUAUAUUAACUUUAAGGGAAUAACUUAUAUUAGGAUUAUAUUAAAAUAUAUAGUUUUUAGGUAUCAAUAAAAUAGUACCACAUUAUCAAUUUUUAAAGACAAUACGAAUAUUAUUGUACACCUAUUCAUAUAUGAUAUAUUUUUUUUUAAACUUAAUUUAACUUUAAUUAAAUUAUUUAAAAAAAUAUUUUUUAUUAAAUAAACAAACAUGCUUCUUCUUUUUUUAUCUUAUAAUAUUUUAAUUAUUUUUAGUUUUUUUAAUUUAAUUGUCUUUUAUUCUUGUGUGGGCAGCCAAUCUUUUUAUUUUCUCUUUUCAUUUUUAAUUUUCUAUUUAAAAUUUAAAUUAAAUACCAAAAACUUGAUAAAUGAUUAUAAUUUUUCAAUUUCCAAUUUUUUGAUAAAUGGUUAUAAUUUCUCAAUUUUUUGUCAAAGGUUUUCUUUUUUUCUUUUUUCUUUUUACAUUAAAAUUUCCGCUUAAGAUUUUCACCUUUUUUUUUAAAAUUUUUUUAUCUAUUGAUUUCAGCAUUUUUAAUUUCCAAUUAUUUUGUUUAUGUUCUUUUUGUUGCAUAUUAAUUGUAAGGUGUUUGUUUAUAUAUAUAUAUAUAUAAAUAAUAUAUAAAUGAUUAAUUUUAACUAACUCAAUUAAAAUUAUUAAAAAAAUUAAUUUAAUUAAAGUUAAAUUAAAUUAAAAAAGAUAUCAUAUACGGAUGAGUGUAUAAUAAUAUAUACAUCUUUAAAAAUUGAUGAUGUGAUUAGUGCCUAAAAAUUAUAUAUUUUAGAAUAAUCCUGAAUAAAUUAUUCAAUGUAUUUUUUAAACUAUUUAAAAUAAAAAAAUUUAAAUAUUUACACUUAUGAGUACGAUAUUUACCAACAAAAUCAAAAUGGUUUGGAUUGGUACCGUGGCGGGCGGUAGUAGGCAACUACGUUAAAGACAACAAGGCGAUAUUUUCUUUCAUUAUUAAUUUCGUAAAGCUAUCGUUAUAACAACUUCAUUUAGCCACCACAUUAGGACACCAUUAAGGUUAUCUUUUGGUUGAGAUUCUGAUCCUCUCAGGCGCAUCAUAUGUUCGAAAGAAGGAGCAUGUUGAUGUCAACAUUAACAAAGAAAGAACAAGGGUUUAAUUUUGUCUCUAAUCCCUGUAUUCUUUAGAUUUUUGAAAGUCUUCCUACUUUUAAUUUUAAGUUAGUAAAUUCAAAUCAAAGGAAUAAAGAGAUUAAAUUUGUUGAAAAUAAAAACAAACACAUUAAAUUUUAAAGGUUUAAACAACACAGGGAGAACAAGCUUGGCAAUGCCAAAAGAUUAAAUGACAAAUAAAAGGAAAAAUUAUUAGCAUUUCCCUUUUUCUUUUUAUAGCAUUUUCAAUUCAAGCUGAUAGUUUAAUGGCCCCUCUACUUGCUAGGAAUUGUGACAAUGAUAUUCACAGUGUAUUUAUCUUCCUGAGGCGAAGGAAUAACAAUGACAAGCCCACCCAACGUCGAUCUAAGCCAAUACGAAACAUGCGCAGGUUUAUUCCCAUCUCCAAAACUAACUUCAUUAGCCCCCAAAUCAUCCCAUUUUGCACGAUUCAAGACUCCCAUCUCUGCUUCUUUCGACAUCCCUUGCUUUGAGCAGCUUUCAACUUUGAUGGACUCAAACGAUUCGUUCACAAACAAGGAAAAUUCUCCUCCCACAACACUUCCUAGGUUGCUCUCGGCUUCCUCCAGACAGGCUAAUGCCGUUUUCCUGCACCAGUCACUCCCUGGACUUUCAGUUUCAGCAUGGAUCUGGAAAAUCAUGGUUUUGGCUGAGUUUUUGCUUGAAUUUGAGGUGAUGAUGUUAAGGGAGGCACCAUUGGUGUUUUUCAGACCAGGAAGGUAGAAUAAAGGAAGCUUUUGUUCAUCGUUUUUGUUGAUAAUAACCUUGUUGUGAAUAUCUGCCCAUGUCUUAAGGAACUCUUUCAUUAACAAAAGAUCUGCUAGAAGAAUACUGCAGCUAAUCCCAAUUGAAUAUCCACCACACUGGAAAUUAGUAACCUGUAAAAAAAAUAAAUUCAGGGUCACUAAAAUCUCAUCAAUAGACAGUUUUGUUUUUGUUUUUUGGGGAUACCUGAACAUAAAAGAGGGGGAAGAACUGUGGGUUUUGUUCAUCAAUAUCUUUCCAGAAAACAAGCUGAGCUUCAGCAUCUUCCCUCUGUUUCAAAUCAAGAAAAUCCGACAAAUUCAUCUGAAUCCUUGCCUCAAUGAGUCUAAUGCCGCAAUCAUUGGAAACAAUCUCCAAUUCUCCAUCGUUUCGUUCCCCUUUCCGAAGACGACCAGAAAUCAUUGGUUGCUCAUGUAAAGCUCUCCCAAGUGUUUCCUUGAUCCACCCAGCCAAUAACCAACCAGAGUCUUCUUCUUUCUCCUUCAUGUAAUACUGGACCACGUUCAAACACCUUUGGAAAAUCCCAGGUCCUACAAGCUCCCCUGCCAAUACUUGUCGUGUCUGUCGUGGUUCAGUUAUCCUCAUCGGAGUCACUGUCUGAAUAGCUUCAAUGGAUAGUUUAGGGAGAAAGGUAGUGGUGUGGUUGGCCAUCUUUGAGUUUUUUAGCUGAACUCUUUCAACUGAACGGGUGUCUAAUUCCCUUGGUUAUAUACAGAUAGAAACACGUCCACCUCAAAAUGUUGGAUCAAAAGAAAUUAACUGGUUUUUAAAAGUACAAAAAUGUCAUUGCCGUGAUUGAUUAAAACCAACCAUUAUGAUUUAGUAGUUUAAUUGAUCCCAAAAAGGAAUGCGCAGAUGUUAAACUUUGGGUGUUGAAUGAGAGGGUGGACCCAUAGAUGAGGAACGACCGCAAGGAAGGAAUUACCGGACAAUAAAAUGGGGCGGCAUUUGAAAUAGAUGGAUGGGGUUGGUGGCUUCAUUUACUAAGUGUGGGAAAGUUGAUCUAAAAAACACCCAACGCCCAGAUCUCCUUAAUUAAUUAGAUAGCAUGUAAACAUCACUCUCGUCUAAUUGUAAGCACCAACUGGCUCUACUGGUUCCGCUACCCCUACGCAAUUAAUGUAGUGGCAAGUUACGCUUCUCACGCUUUCAUUAUUGUUUGUCUUUGUUUUUGUUGGCUGGUGAUUCAAUCUCACGUGGACUUGUUUUAAUAAUAACUAGGGUAAAUUGCACCAACAGUCACCCAACUUUGGGGUAACUAACAAAACAGUCAUCUAGGUUUUAUUUUAGUCACUUAACUUUCAAAAAGUAAUAAAACGGUCCUUUUUACCGUUUUUCGUCACAGAGUCACAGACGUCACAGUAAAGUGACGUGGCAGGUGACAGAGUCCUUGCUGUCAACCUUAAGUCUAGCUGGCCGGUUACUAACACUUUAACAAUAGUACCAGCACCAUUUUAGGGUUUGAAAAAAAGAAAAAGAAGAAGAAGAAGAGAAGAAGGAAGAGAAGAAGAAGGAGAAGAGGAAAAAUGGAUAUACCUGAAGUGAUUCCAGUGUGCUAUUGUGGAAACCCAGCCAAAUUAAACACGUCUUGGUCUAAUGACAACCCAGGUAGGAGGUUUUUUGGGCGUAAGAAAUUCAGCAGUGGAUUUCGAAAACCAUGUCGGUUUUUCAGCUGGUUUGAUCCACCAUUGACGCCCCGUUUAAGAGUUGUGUUGUUGGGUCUGCUGAAAAAAGUGAAGACAUUAGAGGAUGCAAGGAAGAGGGAGAGAAGAACCUGGUUUUUGGUGCUUGUAAUUGUUACUGUUUUGCUAUUUUCAGAACCUUAAAAAUCAUUUUAUGUUAAUUGAAAACCAGCUUAUGUUUUGUAAUUUUGUUGCUGGUAAAUUGUUGCUUAUGUUGGUAUAGAUGGCUGUUGUUAUACAUGGCUAACCAUCUCAUGUUGUUUACAAACACUUGAAUGAAAUGGAAAAUUUUUGUUGAUUACAAAUUGUGUUGGAAUAUUUUUGUUGCUUAACAUGUGUUAAAAAUGUUUGCUGGUAUACAUAGCUAACCAGCUCAUGUUGUUGUUUACAAAUUGCUUAACACUUGGUAUACAUGGCUGCUGGUUAGAAAAGAUAACAAUUGAUAUACAAAUUGCUGAACAGUUGGUAUACAUGGCUGCUAGUUAGAAAAGAUAACAGUUGGUAUACAAAUUGCUUAACAGUUGGAUAACAAAUAGCAUGGAUAAAUUGCUCAUAUAUUAAAGCCAAAAUGCCAAACUGUUUACAAAAGGAAUAAGGGGCAAAAUAUUGCCAAAUUUUCCUACAAUUCAUUACAAUUGAACAGAUGUGAAUUGUAGGGAAAUUUACAAAAAAAUUCAGUGACUAUGCCUAAGUUUAUCAACAGUAGCAAUCAUAGGCAAAUUUCCAAAAAAAAUUAUCUAAUCAGUAGCAGGCAAAUUUACACAGUUUUAAAAGGUUAACAAAAUGUAGUCUGUUCACAUCAUCAUCAAUGGUCUGUCAUGGAUGACUCUUGAGUAGAAGGCAUCCAUCUAACAGUGGACAGUGGUUGUGGUUGAUUUUCUCUUUAAUGGGUGCUUUUGUCUUAGGGCAGCUUCUUGAUAGUUGGGACAGUAGGUAACUGAGUUGGGGCACCUUGUUGAGUUGGGGUACCCUCUUGCUAACUUGGGGUAGCCUGUUGCUAGGUUCGGACAUCAACUCGAUGUCUUUGAACCUACAAGAAUAAAAGAAAUGUGAAAAACAAACAAAUUCAUAGAUAGAAGUAUACUAUAAGUUAAGGCAAAUUACUUACUGGAAUGUUUUGGCCAACUUCCCCUUUGCAACUCCUCUUAUUGUGGCCUAUUAUUUUGCAUUUACUGCACCUCAUCUCCACUCCUCUCUUGCUAAACCUUUCUGUUGUUUGUGGUUUAUCAGGUUCUUUCGUUCUCACUUUAGUAGGACUGCCAGGUGGCCUUCUUAAUGGAAUAGGUAGUAUUGGUAGCAUGUUUGACAAAGAGGCCCAUUGUUUAGGACCCUUUACUGGACUUACCAAGUUGGAGUAAAUUUGAAGCUGGGUUUGCUUGGUGUACCAGGUUUGUACAUAGGUCUCUAGGAACUCAUUUUUUAUAUGAAUGACAGCUAAUGAAUACAUGCAAGGGAUGCCAGUGAGAUCCUAAUUCCUGUAGGAGCAGGAACUCUGAACUAAGUCCACCACAUGCUGGCUGCCUGGACCACAUUCAACCUGAUACUUGUCCCCACCAGCAUGUGAUGGAACACACCUAAAAAACAGUGAGCAUGCUUGGUUAAAACAUACAAUGACACACCCCCCUUAAAAAAGCAGUCACUACAUGCAUAUUAUAAAAAAAACUCAUUGCAUGCAUAUUAAAAAAUAGGCAACACAUUAACAAUUAUUACAUGCAUAUUAAAAAAUAGUCAACAACUUUCCAACAAUUAUUGCAUGCAUAUUACAAAAUAGUCAACAACUUUCCAACAAUCAUUACAUACAUAUUAAAAAAAGUCAAUAGCUUUCCAACAAUCAGUGCAUGUGGUCAGCAACAUUAAGUCAGAAUAUAGGCAUUAGAAAGAAUCUUUACCUUAAUGAAUAUUUUAUAUUUACAUCCAGUUUUUGCUUGAUCUUUGGACACAAAAUUCCUUUCCAUUUGUCAGCUUCUUCUUUCUUCUUGACAAAAAGUAACAUAAUCUUGGUCCUUAUUGUUUCCAUCAUGGUCAGAAUAGGUUUACCUCUUGCUUCCAGUAUCAUCUGUCCAUAAACCACAUAAAUGAUUAGUGAAUUGCUAAUGAUCAGUAAGAAACAUAAAACAUAGGGAUUUACCUUGUUAAAUAAUUCAGAUAGAUUAUUCACCAACAUGUCAGAAUGACUCCUAAUUGAAAAGUGAGACCUUGACUAGUGAGUAGGGUUCUUCUUCUUCAACUAGUCAUAAGCAUGCUGAUUGGUUUUUCUCAGUUCAUCCAUGGCAUCAUCGAACUCCCUUGUAGUGCUUUCUUUGGCAGUUUUCCAAAGCAAAUCUUUCAACUCCUUUAUUCGGAAACUAACAUUCUUGAAAUUAGAAUGUAGGUGUCUAACACAGUGUCUUGUUUCUGCAUUAGGAAACAACAUACAUAUUGCUUCCAAAAGUCCCUGCAAUUAGGAAAAAAAUAGUUUAAUUCUUUGACAAACCUUAAAUAGAAACAACAUAAAAUAUAUAUAUAUAAAUAGAGUUUUACCUUUUGUUUGUCAGACAUGAAAGAUAUGUGGUACGAGCUCACAAUUUUCAAGUCUAUUGCAAGCAACUCCAAGAACCAAAGCCAUGAUGCUUGGUUUUCACUUUCGACAGCAGCAUAUGCAAGUGGAUAGAUGCCAUUAUUUGCAUCUGUCCCAACAGCUACAAGCAAGUAGCCACCAUAGUAGCCCUUUAAGAAACAUCCAUCUAAACUUACUAUCCUCCUACAACCAGCCCUAUAGCCAUCUUUGCAUGCCUGCAAACAGACAUACAUCAUUUGAAACAAUCUGUUAUCCAAAUAACAGAUUAUUGUUGUUCCCUCAUUUUGGGUCCUAACUUCCAACAAGUAUUCAUAAAUCUUCUUAUAUUGAGCCUUAUGAGCUCCUUCAAUUAAUUCCAAUGCCCUAAGUUUAACCUUCCUACAUUUGGUUAGUGAGACCAAGUAACAAAAAUCUCUAGGGACAUUAGGGUUUAGCCUAGAAGCCCAUAUGAACCAAGAACAUUUUUCAUUGCAGACUGCCUUUAACCUUCUUAAAUCAUUUUUUGGAAACUUAAUAAAAUAAUUAUUCAACCUACCAUACUGUUUGGCAGCUUCUUUUAGACUAUCUUUAGACUUAAAUAACAUUCCAACCUUAAGUCUAGGAUUACUCAUGUCAUUCUCUAAGUUAAACUCAGGCCAAUUUUGGCUAUCUGAGUCAGAUUCAUGUGCACUAUCUAGCCUUACAGAAUCAUCACUAUCACACAGUUCAUCUACUUCUAUACCAUCCAUGUCUAAACCAUCUAAACUAACUCUUUCAGAUGCAUCACUAUCACUACCAGACAUGUUUUCUUCAUUCUUAUUAAAAUUUUCAUCAAUUAAACCUGCCAAACAAAGUACUCAUCAAUAAAGGCAGACAAUAUAGGCAAACACUUUAACCAUUUAUGUCAGACAAUAACCAAUACAAAAUGCCUAAUAAUUUAAUGCAAACACUUCUGUCAUGCAUAUGGCAGGCAAUAACAGGCAAUAACCAAUUUGAUAAUGGUAGAUAUACAUAAUAUACACAAUAAACAUCAUGGCAGAUAUACACAAUAAACAUCAAUUUGAUAAUGCAUUCAUACAAUGGCAGAUAUACACAAUACACAUCAAUUUGAUAAUCGCAUUCAUACAAUGGUAGAAAUAAACAAUAAACAUCAUGCACAUGGCAUACAAUACAAAGUUGAAAUAACCCUAAAUCGAAAUCUAGAUCAAAAUCAAAAUCAAAUUCUAAAUCUAAAUCGAGAUCAAAAUUGGAAUCAAAAUUAAAAUCAAAAUCAAAAUCAAAAUCAGUGAGUGUUUUAAAAUUGAAAUCAAAAUCGAAAUCAGAAUCGAAAUUAAAAUUGAAAUAGAAACAACCGUAAAUCGAAAUAACAACAUUGAAAUCCAAAAAAAUUAAAACUAUAUGCAACAACUUACCCGUUAAAGUGGAUGUAACACCACUGGCAGCUUCUUCUCUAUUGCCCAUUGUCGCUGGCAAUAAAAAAAUUGAAUGGUUUCUGGUUCGUCUUCUUUUCUCCCAAAACAAAAUAAACAAUCGUACCCUAAACCUUAUACCCUGUUAAUGGAUUAUUGAACGAAUUUCUAACCCUAAACCCUUCUUAAUUGAUUCCCAAUUUAGUUUAAACCCUAAAAAACUCUAAAUCAGGAUCGAAAUUUCCCAAAUCGAUUUUCCUUUUUCUUCCCCCCAAAUCCCCUCCUCUAAUCUGUUUUUAACCCUAAAAUAUUACAUUAACUCAUAACCCUUACCCAUUUUUUCCCUAAACUCGCCCCAAUCAGCCGUUUCACCAACGUGGCAAGUUAACUUGCCACAUCAACUGGUUAACUUGCCACGUCAACAAUCCCGUUAAAGCCUUAACGACAAUCGUUAAACGGUGACUAUUUUGUCACUUUUUAAUAAUGUUGAUGACCGUUUUGUUACUUUUUGAAAGUUAAGUGACUGAAAUGAGACCUAGGUGACUGUUUUGUCAGUUAUCCCAAAGUUGGGUGACUGUUGGUGUAAUUUAUCCUAAAAACUACAUUCUUUUAAUGGUGUUUUCAUUUUUCAAUUUAAUUGUUUUAUAUUGUACCAAGAAGCGCGUAAGAAAAAUGAGAGUGACAGUUCACUUUUUUUUCUUAAUUUUUUGAACAACUUUGUUUGUAUUGUUUUUUAUAGUAUUUUUUUUAGAAAAUUAGUUAAUCUAACAAUGUAAUAAUCAUAUUAUAUUAAAUUAUUUAUACUUUUUUAAAUUUAACAUGUAUAUUUUAAAAUUAAUUCUCAUAGUAUUUUUUUUCAAAAAUUAUUUUUUAGAAUAUUUUUUAAAGGAUUAUCAAAUGUUGAAUUUUGAUAUUUAUGUUGAAUAAUAUGUAAAAAAUUUAUUGUCUAAUCAUUUGGCGAUGAUGAAAAGACAUUACUUUGACCUCAACACCCAUAAACUUUGAGGUCCUUACCACUAGUUUUUAGGAUUCUCCCAAGAAUCUAGUACUUUGCAGUUGUAGAUAGCGAUUUAACGUGAUGGACCAUGAACUCAAAUUCUAUGAGUGUCAAAUUUAGGUUUUCUUUAUUUAAUAUGUUAACUUUUGUUCUAUACAUGGCAUAAGAAAGUUGUGUUUUUUUUCUUUUGUAAAGUUAUUUGUGUAGCAAGUUGGUGUUAAUAUUGUUGGAUUAUUUGUUUUUAAGAAUUAUUAAAAUCGUUAGUUUUGUAUUUAUUUGUUGUUACAUUUGUUGAAUAUGUUCUACAUAUGGUAUAAAGUUUUAUUGUUUUUUUUUCUUUCCAUUCUAGUAAAUUAGAGUUAAUUUUGUUGAAUUCUUUGUUAUUAAGGGUUGUUAAAAUCGAUAAUGUUUUUUUUUGUAAUAUUUGGAAUGUAAUAUUUGAUAGCCUUAAGAUGGCAGACUAAUUCUUGGUACAAAUCCAUUUGAAUGGAGAAAUGUUUUUGACUAAUGAUGGUGUUGUAUUCCAAUCGGAUAUGACCAUUAACAUGACUUUUAGGAGUGAUACUUCCUUGGACAACAUGAAAGGAGGAUCCUAAAGAAAAUCCAGGUCAAGAGUAUUAAGUGCAUAUCUAACAUAAAGUAUAGAUUUCCAAGGUCCAAUAACAAAAAAAAGUGUAAAUACAUUGCGUUGGAUCUCAAUAAUAAUGAAGAUGUUGAGACAAUGGUGUUUGGGAUUAAGAAAGCAAUGAUGUUACUAUAGAUUUAUUAGUGGAGGUUGAAGAUAUGCUUAAUAUUGAAUAUGAGAUCUCGAAUUAUAUAAGCAUAUCGAUUAUCUCAAAACCUACAUAUGAUAUUGGUAUUCCACUAAUGUUGGACAAUUUGGGUCCCUUUUUUAUUACUAUAGUUAGGGGUCCAUGAUUUUAGAGAAUCCCCUAAUGUUACCUAUCCCAAUUACUAUAUUUAAGGAUACAUAAUGCAAAGAAUUCCUCAAUAUCGAAUAUUCUCAUGGUACCUAUCCCAAUUAAUAUACUCAAGAGUCCGCGAUAGGGGAUAUUUACAAAGUUAUGACAAGAUGUUGCCUAUAUCAACAUUUGAACUAACUUCAGUGGCCAAACCAUAUUGUUUGGAGAUGCUUACAAGUUAUGGUAGAGGACAAUCUUAAAGGAACCCUAACCUAAUUUAUUCGACAACUUUUUUGAACCCAAGUGUCCUGAUGACGAUAUUGGUGGCUUCACCAAAAUUAAUGUCCAAGCCUAACUAGGAAGAAACAAAUUUUGAAGUUAUGGGUGCCAAUGGUAUUAAUAUGCAAGUUGAACUAAUAGUUUAUGCAUAAAUGAGUCGUGGUAAUUGUACAUACGAGUCCCGAAGUUGUUAUAAGACAUUAUGCAUUUGCAGUCAUUAGCAUGAAUUUCUCAAAUAUGUUCAUGAACUAUCAUAUUUGAAUUAGUUACCAUUUGAUAACAAUGGUGACUUCGCACUUGAUUAGCUUUUUCCAUCAAAAGAUGUUGUGUAAAGAAGAAUCAAAGACAACAACAUAAGGGAGUUAAUGGAUUUCAAUGCCAUGGAGUCUAGCACCAAUGUUUAUGCAUGUAAAUGCAUUAAUUAUGGCAAGAAUUGUAGACAGGUAAUUUGGUAGCAUAUAUAUAAAGGAAACUGUAUGGAAAUUUUGCAAAUAUAAUGACCCACAUACUUGCAUUGCAGUAAUGAUAUCGUAUGAUCAUCAAAAGUUGGAUUUCAGUUUUGUCCAUGAUUUUUUCAUUACGUUGGUCGAAGUAGACUCCUUCAUACUUGUUGCCAUUUUGAUUGCAAAGAUUAAAAACAAAUAUCAUUAUUUUAUCUCAUAUAAGAAAACAGGACAAGCAAAUGAAGCGAUUAUAUGAUGAUUGGAAGCAAAUUGCAUAACCAACUGCAUAAUUGGAGAGUUAAAAACAAUUCUCGCAUAGUAUGACAAUAAUUUAGUUUGGGGGUGCACUUUUAUCGUUUAUUUUGGACACUCAGACCAUUAAUGAAGGGUUCAAGUACUACAAACUCAUUGUUUAGGUAGAUAACACAUUCUUACAUAGGAAGCAUAAAGAGAAGUCGUUGGUGGCCAUUUCUUAGGAUAGGGCCUGAGAAGUUAUUUUGCUUACUUUCUCCCUGGUGAAUCAAGAGACAGAGGAGGCAUGCGUAUUCUUUCUAGAAUGUUUGUGAUUAUAUGUGGCUCAAGACAUUGAAGGAUUGUGUUUGAUAUAUGAUCAAGCCUUAUGAAUUAUCGUUGCAAUGCAAAAUCCAGAGAUUAGUUAGAUUGGACCAUUGACACAUUAUGUAUUCUGUAUUUGACAUAUCAACUAGAAUUUUUAUAGGAAGACCAAUGAUAAAGAAGUACGACAACUUGUAAAUGUAAGUAUGUACUACUAGUUUCAUAAAUUAUAAUAUGUUAACUACAAUAUGCUAUUGUUAUAAGAUUGUAAUUGUAGUAUGUUAAACAUGGUAUGGGUUGAUUUGUUUUAAAUUCCACCAAAGGGCGAACCUUAUAAAGACAAAGGAUAACAAAGCGUGAGACUUUAUAAAAAAGCCUUUGGUUCAAGUAGUGGGUACAAUCAUAUGAUGACGGAUGAUGCUAUGGGUAUAUGGCAACCAAUCUUGUAGAAUGGAUAAAUGGGGUGAUGAUGUCCACUUGCCAUUUUCUAGUUAUGAAAUAGUUGAAGCUAGUUAUUGUCACUUUAACAAACUUUGGGUAAUACAAUGGAAGGAAAUUGUUGACUUGAUGGUAAGCGAACAUACCUUUAGCCAGAAUGUUAUGAAGAGACUUGCUGCCAAUGGACAUGAUUCUAAUAACUAUCGUAUUCCUAGAUAUUUCAAUAAGCAUUUCACAUUUCAAGUUGAAGAGACUAAACUCCUAGUACGGGGUUACCACCUGGUUUCUGUAGCGUUGGUUUUUGAAUGGUUGGUGUGAUUGUGGGCUUUUUCUAAGUAGAUAAAUACCCAUGUUUGCAUGUUUAUGCAACAUACAAGAAGUGCAUCUUGAUGUUUUGUGCCAUUUAUUAACAUGUACAGACUUGAUAAUAUUAUGAGGGUAUAAGAGUGUUUGUUUGUACCAUUUCUAAAUUGAGAAUAGAUGUUUACAAACCCAAUACUAUAUAAAAUUUAUCCAAAUUUUGGAAUGUUGUAGACUACCAAAAUGUCAACCUUAGCCUACUUGAAUAUGAAGGAAGAUGGAUAAUGAAAGGAAGGCCAUUGAAAAAGUGCAACUAAUGUCGAAAUGAAGGCCAUGACAAACAUAGAUGUCCAUUGCACACACUAAAGAAAUGAACAUCUUAAGUAGAAUUUGGGGUUUCAACUUCUACUCUCUACACGAUUUUCAUUAUAUUAUUAUUCAAUAUCCAUUCAAUCAUUUAUAUGUUUAUUCAAUUUAAUUUUUAAAAAUUAACAUUCAUCCAAUUCAUAUGUUUACUCAUUCACACAUUAAAUGUUGUACAUCAGUUGUGUGUUUGGAUUUUGUAAUAUUCAAUUCAUUUUUUAAAUUAGCAAUCUUAUAAUUAUAUGUUGAACAUCAUUUAUAUGCUCUGGUUUAAGGAAUACUUAUUCAAUCGUUUUUAUGUUUACUUAAUCGAAUUAUAUGUUAUAGGUAACUUGUAUACAUCAUUUUUUAAAAUUAGAAAUUCCAAUUAUAUGUUUACUCAAAUUAGUUUUGAUUUUACUUAUGGCAUUGCAUCAACCCAAAAUAAAACACAAAAGUAUUAAUACCUUUUUCAUAUUAAACAAAAAAAUUACAUCCAUUUUUUUUAAAAAAUUAAACACUUAAACCUAAACCCUAAAUCUAACGCCAAAUCAAUGGUAUCUCUUUGAAUGUGUUCUCCAUGAUGGUAAAUGUCGAUUGUAUGGUGGCUUGACAAGGUGGAACCACGAGCGGAUUUUCAGUUGGCUUCUCAAUGAAGGUUGGACUCAAAGUGUAUAAACUUUUUGGAAAGAAAUUGAAAAGUUUGGUGUACAUGCCAUAUCGAAGAUUAAUGAUGCAGUUAAGGGAACUAUCUCAAAGUACCCUUUCAAAUUGUUAAGGGGAUUUGUGCUAGUUUGGAUAUUAUGAGACUUCUGGAUAUAGAUGAAAGAUAAUAUAAAUAGGUCAAAAGCUAUAAACGGACGGGUCAGUAGGCUCAUGGAUAACAUGCGCACUCCUUUGAGCUCGGCCUCGCUGCUGCCAACUGAGAUGGCUAUUCCCAAUGGAUGGGUUUGGUUGGGUUGGUUGUGGGACUGACUCAUCAUCAAAUACCACACAUGCUUGCACUUAAGCUCAUUAAUUCGUAUUUCAAUGACUACUUGAUAUUGUAGCGCUCAUGAUAAUUGGAUAUUUGCCAUUGUGAUAAAAGAAUGGUAAUCCACUAGCCUUAAACCAAAGCAUGUAAUGCAUAUCUGUGUUGACCUAGUUCUCCUAGAUCGACUAUCCAGUGAUGAUAAAUUUGUGAUACAUAUGCCAAUAUUCAAUCCACUUUCAGUAUUCAUAAUCUCAAUUUAUUUUCGCCCAACCCCUUAAGUCAUAAUUUAAACUUUCUUCAUAUCCUUUGGUUCCCUUUGAAUUGGUUGCCAUAUGCUAAAUUAAUAUAACAUUCGAUCAUUUUGCUACCAUUCAAUGAUCUAGAAGCGUAUAACAACCAUGUAAGCCCUCCCCAAUCUUUGUUCCUCCUUAACUACGUCCCUUAGGAGCACGACUUGAAGUCUUUGACCUAGUACAGUGUCUACUGAAACAACAAAUAAUCAUUUACAAUUAAUAAAACAAAAAAAGAGAGAUGAUAAUGAGCAAUUCAUUAAUUACUAAAACAAAUUAACAAUUAACCACUUGAUUUACAUAUUUAUCAAUGUUAAUUCAGAUCUAUGCAAACUCUUAAUAAUAGGUGGCGUGCAAAUUCAUUUAAAAUAUAUAAAUAAAUUAAUUUUUAUAGGACACAUUAUAAAAAAUGAUAACCUAAAAUAUGUUUUAAAUAUUAAAUAUAAAUAUCUUUUUACCUUUUGUCUAGUGGAAAAAAAUCAUGGAUGAGAAGGGAUCGACGAUGUAAACGAUAUCCAUAUCCAUACUUGUAAGAGGGUGGAGUAGCCAUUCAAUUCUUUUAUUUUUCAAUUGGUCAUAUUGUUAAGGGCUUGGUAUAGAAAUGGCAAUACCUUGGACCCCUAGCUAGAUGUGUUGGCAGAAGCGAAGUCAUCUAGCAAUGGUAAAUACAUUAAGUGGCAAAGAUUCCUACACUUAUCUACCAUAAGCAAUCUGUAACACCCCCUAGCCCCAACCCGUCCCGGAAGAGAGUUAUGGAGCAUUACCGGAGUUUACAGAAUAAUUACACACAAUUUCAUUUACUUUCUUAUGUUCAUGUCAAAACUGUCUUCUUGAGUAACAGUCACUAAAAUAUUUAUAUCUAGAGCUACGAAACUUAAAAUUAAGUUCCGUUAAUUUUUAUUAAAACUAAACUCAUAUAGCUUUCUACCAUAAAAUUUUCAGAAUUUUUGGUUUAGCCAAUUAGUACAGUUUAUUCCUCAAAGUUACCCCUGAUCUGUUGUUUGACAGUUUCGACAUUUCUUUACUAAAAUUUAAUUAUCUCAUAGCACAGGACUUGGAUGAUGUUGCCGUUUAUUUCUCUUGAAAAUAGACUCAUUAAAUAUUCUAAGCAUAUAAAUUAUAGCCUGUAAUUAUUUUUAUACAAUUUUUAAUGAUUUUCCAAAUUCAGAAUAGGGAAUUCCAAAAUCAAUCUGACAUUAUCUCACAAAAAUUCAAAUUCAUACCAAAUUAGUCAAAUCCUAUUUUAUACCAUAGCCAAAUCUAAAUUUAUUUAUUUCAUCCUUACAUUUACAAUUUCAAAAUGACAUACACAUAAGACAUCCUAGGUACAUGCCAUUACUAAUAAUUAACACACUUUACCUUAAUGAAUUCGGGAUCGGACUGGGAUGCUGAUUCAACGUUCUAUCUUUACUAAACCUGCGCACGGAAACAAACCGUACGCUGAGUAUGGUAUACUCAGUGGUAUUUCUAUAAUCCGAACACUUGAUAAUAUAACAAUUAAACUUAAAAUCACAAUGAUAAAUAUAACCAUUCAUUUAUUUAUUUUAUAGAUAAGUUUCAUUUACUUACCAUAAAAAUUCUAUACAAGCCAUAUAACAAACACAACAACAUAUUUGCUCAAUUCUUUUCAUUUGCUUACUGUAUAAAUUCUUUCAAUAUAUUCACAAUUCACUUGUAUUCACACUUUACUUCUUAACAAUAUACCAUUUUAAUUCAUUCUAACAUCAAUCAUCAUCCAUUUGAACUUCACUCAUUUUAUGAACCUUUUGGUUCAUGUUUUCAAUCUCAUAUCUCAAUUUCAAUUCUCAAUUCAAUUUCUCAUUUCAUUCCAAUAGUUCAAUCAAUCAAAUUCACUCGAUUUAUCUUUUCACUUAUUUACCCUUAUUAACAAACCCGGACUUUGACGGAUACACGGAUUCCAACCCAAAUACACCAGUACGGCACAUUGUGCCUAAAACGGUACACAGUACCUGAUCAGUAUACGACACAUAAAGUGCCUAAAACGACAUACGAGGUGCCUGAUACGACACACAAGGUGCCUGAAAUACGACACAUAAAGUGCCUAAUCGGUAAAGCCGGCAAAUCUCGUACACUUUCAAAUCCUAUGGCAUGCCAAUUAUAUCCGACUUAGCCCGACUAGUUAAUAGGGUAUUUCAUUCACUUUCUCAAUUUAAUAAUUCUUUCAUCAAUAUCUCAUUCAGAUAAUUACAUAUAUUUACCCAUUUUCACAAUUCAUACAAUUUCAUUCAAUUCAACAAUAUAUUUCAAUUAUUCACAUUAAUUCAUAAUUCAAUACAAUUCAAUUCAUUUUUCAAUAUCAAAUAUUCAAAUAUCACAAUCUCAUAUAUUCAUACCAAUUUCCUCAUAUUUCCAAUCAAUAUAUUUUUUAAUAUAACAUUCAUUCAAUAUUCAAAUUUUUACAUAAAUCAUAUAUAUUAUAUAAUUCAAUCAAUAUAAAUUCAAUCAAAAUAAUUUCAAUCAAUAUAAAUUCAAUAAAAUAUAUAUUCAUAAAUCAAUUCAAUAUAAAUUUAUCACACACUAAAUCAAUUCAUUUCAAUUAUAAAGACACAAUACAAAUAAUUCUCAUCUUAAUUAUUUAUAAUAAUAUUUAUCCAAAAUUCAAUUAUCAUAAUUGCAUAAUAUCUCAUUCACACACGCAUAUAUAUAUAUAUAUAUAUAUUUAUAAUAUAUAAUUCAAUUUAAUUCAAUCAAUAUAAAUUCAUCACAUACUAAAUUAAUCCAUUUCCAUUAUAAACACAAUAAUUCUCACUUCAACAUUUAUUAAAUGCAUUGAAUAAAAAAAUAUAACAAUUAAUAACUAGGUUCGGAUUAUAGAAAUACAAACCGUAUUUUCUCGAGCUAACUCCCUUUGUCUUUGCCAUUUUUUUUCCUUGCUUAGCCUAGGUUUCCCGAGACAACAUUAGCUACGGGAAUUAAAACAAUUCAUAUUCGUUAAUUCACUACUAAUUUAUAUCUAAUUAAUACAAUUUUUAUUCAAUUUCUACUUUAAUUUCAAUUUAAUCUUAACUAGAUUCACUUACUUUUUCUAUCUCAAUUCAUACUUCAUUUCUAUUCAAAUUUUGUCCAAACUCAUACUUAACUAUUAAAUUUCCAGCAUAUUUUCAUAAUUUCAAAUUUAUUUCCAUUUAAUCCCUAAAACUCAAAACUUAUAACUUAGUUUACGAUUCAAUCCUUUAUUCAAUUCCAAUCAAAAUUUCUAUCAAAUAAACCCCCAAUUCCAUCAUUUUAUUCAACAUUUCAAAAUUUCUACUUAAAACAAGUAUUAUUUAUCUCUAGGAUUCCAAAAACUCAAAAAUCAUAAGAAAAUGGGCUAAAUUUAACUUGGAACCUUUAAAACAUUAUUUUUCCCUUUUUUGUUUUCUUCCUUUCUCCCUGCUCUGUUUCGUCCCCUGCUAUUCUGUUUCUUUCCUCUUUUUAUUCUUUUGUUUCUUUUAUAUAUAUAUAAUGACAAUAAUAACUAUAAUAAAAAUCUAUUUAAUAACAAAUAUUUAUUGAACACUUGUACCAAUCAUUUUUAUACACUUGUUUUUCUUCUUUGUUUUUUUAUAUAUACAUAUAUUUAAUAAUUUAAUAAUAUACAUAAUUCAAGAAAAAUCUUGAUUUUUCUUCCAGUCACCGCCUCAUUUCAUGGGUAUGGCUUAAUUGCCAUUUUGAUCCUUUUAUUUUCUAUUACUUUAAAACUAAACUUUCACAUUAAAUUCAAUUUAAUCUUUUAUCCAAUUAUCCUUAAUUAAGCUAAAUUUACUUAAUUAAACUUUAAUUAAUCACUCACUUAACUUCAUAAAUAUUUUUACUUUUUUUUAAUAAAUAUUUUCUAAUCCAUUUUUCAGAAACGGUGACCCGAAAAUACACUUUUCUAAUAACCUUAAAGUUCAGGUCGUUACACAAUCCACCAAUGAUGUACAGUUCGUACACUCUAACAUACUGGCUGAACUUUUUAUCACUCAUAUUGGUGGCUAGUAGAUGCUUGACUAACGUAUGCAGUUAGGUGAACUUCACCCACCUUCUCUUGAGGUAAUCGUCUUCAUUUGGAUAAUGAUUGAUUAACACCUCAUUUUUAGCUUAACGUUAAACUCAACCAAACACUACAUCAAAACAGACUUUUAGCGGUGUUUUUAGCGGCGUUUUAAAAGAAAACGUCGGAAAAAAUCAAAUAGAUGGAGUUUUAGCGGCGUUUUUAAAAAAACGCCGCAAUAGAUCGAGCUUUCGCGGCGUUUUUGAAAAAGCGCCGCUAAAGGUCGACCUUUUGCGGCGUUUUACUAAAACGCCGCUAAAAGUUUAAGCAAGACGACGACGUUUUACAUGAGCUUCAUUGGCAGUAGCGGCGUUUUCCCAAAAACACCGUAACAGAUCAAACUUUAGUGGCGUUUUUAAAAAAAAACGCCGCUAGAGGUCCGCCUUUUGCGGCGUUUUCUAAAAUGUUAAACAAAACAACGUCGUUUUACAUGAGCUUCAUUGGCAGUAGCAGCGUUUUCCCAAAAACGCCGUAACAGAUCAAACUUUAGUGGCGUUUUUAAAAAAAUGACGCUAGGGGUCCGUCUUUUGCGGCAUUUUUGGAAAAACGCCGCUAAAAUAUUAAACAAAACGACGUCGUUUUAUGUGAGCUUCAAUGACAUUAGCGGCGCUUUCCUAAAAACGCCGCAAUAGCUCGCACUUUAGCAGUAUUUGUGUAAAAAACGCCGCUAUAGGUCGCAUAAUUAGCGGCUUUUUUUUGUAAACGCCGCUAAUAGGUUAAGGCAAACGACGUCGUUUUAAAUUAGGUUCAAUGGCAUUAGCGGCGCUUUACUUAAAACGCGGCAAUAUAUCAAUCUUUAACGGCGUUUUUACAAAAACGCCGCUAAAACAUUAAGCAGGACGACGUCGUUUUGUUUGGACUUCAAUGGCAUUAGUGGCGUUUCUCGAAAAACGCCACUAGAGUUUAUGGGGCAGACACAUUUUCUUUCUUUAACAAAGUAAAACACAACAAAAUCAUUACAUUUUUGAGUUCUUUAUUACUUAAUAUUAGGUGUUUAUGGGUGCUAAAUAUAAUAUUUGUUUAAAUAUAAUAUCAUAUAUUUUAUAUUUGUUUGAAUUUAUUUUUAGUGGGGCUUAAAAUAUAGGUUUAACAUUUUGUUAAAGCCCACUAAUACUUGCAAAUGAUUAACCUAAGUCUAUUUUAAGUCCAAUCAUAUUAUAUUUUUAAUUUUUGUAAAAUUAUGUCAUUUUAAUUUAAUAUUUUUUAUUUAUUUAAUUUCUUUAUAUAGUUAUCUUAAUAUUAUUUUAAUGUUUAUAUUAGACUACUAUAUAUUAUACAUUUAGUAUAAAUUUAAUUUUUUAUAAAUUAUAAAAUUACAUAGUAUAUAUAUAAAAUAUCAUGAAGUUGAAAACGGAUUAGACCAAACUCAGGUAUUAAAUGUUUUAGUCUAACUUAUUUUUUAAAUGAAUUUAAAAUUUUCUAUUUAAACUGAUUUUUAAAUUUAAUAUUUUUAUAGGUUUAAGGGAUAGAUGUUGGGGUUAGGGGUUAUGUGUAAUAUCCUGAAUUAGGGCUUAAUCGAAAUAGUGGUUUCGUGACCACAAAUCUGAGAUAGAAAUAAUUAUUUUAUAAUUAUUUUGAUGAAUAUGAUAUGGUUGCAUGAUUGUGUGAAAAUUUCGUGAUGAAAUUCUAUGCCUAAAGUGCUUAAAUUGAAAGUAGGGACUAAAUCGAAUAAGUUGCAAAAUUUGCAUUCUAGAAGUUUUUAGUAUGAAAUUGCAUUGAAAUAUUAAUUAGGAGGUCUUAAAUAGCAAUUUGACCAAUUUCUAAGUCUAUGGACAAAAAUUGGACAUGGAUGAAAUUUUUGGAAAGUUUAGUAGUAAGGGCAUUUUGGUCAUUUAGUUAUUAAAAUGAAUUAAAAACAAAAUUAAAAGCCAAUUUUUGUCCAUCUUCUUCAUUAGGCCGAAAUUUCAAGGGUUCUCCAUAGUUAGGGUUUGUUUCAAGCUUCCAAGCUCCAUAGUAAGUGAUUCCAAGCCCCGUUUUUAAUGUUCUUUACGUUUUUGGAAUCCCGGUAGCUCGAUUAAGCUUAUGCUAGCAAUAAUUCAACCUAGGGUUUAUAUUUGGAAAAAUACCCAUAGGUGAAAUUUGAUUUUGAUGAUUUUGAUGAUGUUGCUAUGAUGAUGGAAGUUGUGUCAUAUGUGUAUGUAUAAGAAAGUCGAGUCAGAGGUCCUACAACCCCUCCCCCUUACCGAAGUGGUACUUAUAAUGGAAUUUCAUGAGAUUUGUAUUGAAUAAGUUUCCGGUUGAGAACCCAAAGAGUUCAGUGAUAGAAUAAUUAUAGAUAUGACCAGAGUCUGAGAAUGGUUGACAAGUGAAGGACAAAGUUAGAGAAAUAUCAGAGUUUACUAAGUUAUCUUGGGAUUCAAAUUGAUGACAGAGUGUUUCUGAAAGUAUCGUCUUGAAAAAAAUUAGUUAGUAAUACUGGAAAUUAUGAGAAAGAUACUAAACCUCACUCUGGUAAGAUUUUCGAGGACAAAAAUCUCUGAAGGGGGGAGAGUUGUAAUAGCCCAAAAUUGGGUCUAGUUGGAACAGAGGUUUCGGGACCACAAAAUCUGAGAUAUAAAUAAUUAUUUUAGGAUUAUUUUGAGGUCUAUGAUAUGAUUGCAUGAUUGUGUGAAAAUUUCGUGAAGAAAUUCUAUGCAUAAAGUGCUUAAAUUGAAAUUAGGGACUAAAUCGAAUAAUUUGUAAAACUUGCAUUCUAGAAGUUUCUAGUAUGAAAUUGUUUUGAAAUAUUAAUUUGGAGGUCUUAAAUAGAAAUUUUACCAAUUUCUAAGUCUGUGGACAAAAAUUGGACAUGGAUGGAAUUUUUGGAAAGUUUAGUAGUAAGGGCAUUUUGGUCAUUUAAGGGGUAAAAUGAAUUAAAAUACAAAAUUAAAAGCCAAUUUUGCUCAUCUUCAACCCCAUGGCCGAAUAUAGCAAGGAGAAACCAUGGCUAGGGUUUUUCAAGCUUCCCAAGCUCAAUUGUAAGUCCGUUCUAACCCCGUUUUUAAAAUUCUUUACGUUUUUGGAGUCCCGGUAGCUCGAUUUAGCUUAUGCUAGCAAUAAUUCAACCUAGGGUUCAUAUUUGGAAAAAUACCCAUAGGUAAAAUUUUUGUAUUCUGGUGUUUUAUGAUACAAUAUGAGGUUUUAAAUUAUGUUAGACAACUUGUGCUACUCGGUUUUAAGUGAAAACGAGCAAAAGGGCUUAAUUGGUAAAAAUACCUAAUAGUCAUAAGUAUAUGUUAGAGUGAGAAUUUGAUGUUGCCAUAGAAGGGAAAAAUGAUCAGCAUGUCAUAAAACAUAAGAAAAUAGGCUGAAGUUUAAUUUACGAGCUUUGGGGUAAAAGUGUAAAUAUGCAAAAGUUUAGGGGCAAAAUUGUAAUUUUGCCAAAAUAUGAUUUUAGGUCAAUUUGAAUAAUGUGAGUCCUAAUUAGACUAUAUUUUAAAUGAUAGAGCAAGGAAAACUAAAAUUCGGGCUAAAAUGGUGAAAAUACCAAGUUGUGGACGAAAUGGUAAAAGUAGCCAUUUUCGCAUACGAGGUAAGUUCAUGUGUAAAUAAUGUAGCAUAAAUGUUAUUUUUAAGUUAUUAAUGUUAAUUAUAUGAUAUGCUAAUUUUUAAUCGUGAAAUAUUAUGCUUUGUGGUUAAUAUUGAGUAAUAUGCAAAUUAUGUUUACUACUUGAUAAAUAUGAAUUGCUACCGAGUAUCGGUUCCGAUAUUCCAUGGAAGACGACAAAUGUGAGAUCAAGGGAAAAAUCCCGUUUGAACCUUAGGAAUAGAUUAGGAUACAAGUGACAUGUCACUAGGAUGGUUGAGCAUCCAAACUCGUUGAGUUGAGUCCGAGUUCACCUAUGGAUGCGAAUGUCCGAACUCGUUGAGUUGAGUCCGAGUUCGUGAAAUGUAACUAGGCAUUCAAACUCGUUGAGUUGAGUCCGAGUUCACUUAUAGAUGCGAACACCCGAGCUCGUUGAGUUGAGUCCGAGUUCACUUAUGGGCGGGUUACAUGGUAGCUUGGCUACAUAUGUGGCACUUAUGUGCAAACUUUCCAUGUAUCCGAAUUAUAUUCCGAUGUGUUCAACGGGUAAAAUUCUACUCAAAUGGAGGAAUACUCGAGAUGAAAGGGAUGUAUUGGUACGUGUUGUGAAAUGAAUACUUUGAACAGGUAUGUACUUAACCCUCGGGUUGAAAACUCGAUAUAACAACAAUAUGGUAAGAUGAUAAAUGAAAAUGUGAUAUGAAUGUCUCGGUGAUGAUUAUGCAAAUGAUGUUUUAUGUUUGCUUAUAUAGUUGUGUUACUUGCUAUUUGCAUGUGAGCUUACUAAGCAUUUAUGCUUACUUCCUCCUUUUCAUUCCUUGUAGUGUUGACAAGCCAACUCGGAAAUCGGGAACGGUCGGAGGCAUGCUCACACUAUAUCCGUAUACCAUCUUGGCAUAAUGGCUUGCAUAUUUUGAGUAUGGCAUGUAUAGCAUUAUAAUCAUUUUGUAUAUAUGGUCUUAUGAUAUGGUUAUUGAGUGGUACGGAAAUGCUUGGUAAUGAUUAGCCAUUGGAAUGGCUAAUCAUGAUCAUAUUUGGUGUUAUGUAUGCUAAAUUACUAGCUAAUCCAUGGAAAACAUGAAAUAGGUAAAAUUUACCAUAAAAUAGAUUCAGACAGCAGCAGUGACGUGAGUUUGAAAAAUCAUUAAAAAUUGUAGAGAUACAAUUAGAUGGUGAAUAAAAUAUGGAAUUGAAGAAUUAUGAGUCUAUUUUCAUAUGGAUGGAACAAAACAGGUAUAUGAGUUAUAUUUUAUGAGAUGUUUAAAUUUUUGUGAAACAGGGCCAGAGCGAUUUCUGGAUCCCCUGUUCUGACUUUGGAAAUUCACCAAAAAUUGUUCAAAGAUAAUUAGAAGUCAUUAUUUAUAUGUACAGAUUCCUUAUUGAGUCUAGUUUUAUUAGAAACAAACGGCAUAGUCAUUGAAACUCUGUACAGCGAGAUAUCUGAUUCGUAAUACACAGAGGUCAGAGCAGUCAGACCCUGAAAUAGGGGAGACUUUAACUAAUAAAAUAUACUAAUUGGCUUGACCAAAAAUUCUAUAAAAAAAUUAGUAGAUAGAUAUAUGAGUCUAGUUUCAUAGAAAAUUUACGGAAUUGGAUUUCGAGUUUCGUAACUUGAGAUAUGAAUUUUUAAGCGACUAUGAUGCAGAUUGUUAGCUUGACUGAAAAUUUUAAAAAUAAAUUGUUUGAGCUGUUUAAGUAAUGAAUUAAGUCUGUUAAUACCUCGUGUUCGACUCCGGCGAUGGUCUCGGGUAUGGGGCGUUACAUUUGGAGUUGUAAUAUCCUGAAUUAGGGCUUAAUCGGAAUAGUGGUUUCGUGACCACAAAUCCGAGAUAGAAAUAAUUAUUUUAUAAUUAUUUUGAUGAAUAUGAUAUGAUUGCAUGAUUGUGUGAAAAUUUCGUGAUGAAAUUCUAUUCCUAAAGUGCUUAAAUUAAAAGUAGGGACUAAAUCGAAUAAGUUGCAAAAUUUGCAUUCUAGAAGUUUUUUUUUGCAACUUAUUCGAUUUAGUCCCUAAUUUCAAUUUAAGCACUUUAGGCAUAGAAUUUCAUCACGAAAUUUUCACACAAUCAUGCAAUCAUAUCAUAUUCAUCAAAAUAAUUAUAAAAUAAUUAUUUCUAUCUCGGAUUUGUGGACACGAAACCACUAUUCCGAUUAAGCCCUAAUUCAGGAUAUUACAUUAUGGUUUAUGAUUUAUACUUUAAGGGUUAAUUAGGGUUUAGGGUCUAGAGUUUGGGGUUUAAGGUUUAUAAUUUAGGGUUUAUGGUAUAGGGUCAAGGUCUUAGCACUGUUCAAGGAUUUAGGGGUAAUGUUGUCAGGGUUUAAUGUUAUGGUUUUAGCUGGUAAGCAAUAAUAUUUUAUUUUUAGCGUUUUAGGAUUUUAGGGUUUAGGGUUUAGGGUUAUGUUUAGUGUUUAAGGGUUAGCAGGUUUAAGAGUAUACAUAUUUAAUAUUUAAAGGGUAUACUGGGUUAGGGAGAUUUAGGGUUUAGGGUUUAGGGACUGUGUUUUGUGGUUUAUGGUAUGGGGCUUAUGGUUUGGGGUUUGGGGUUUGGGGUUUAGUGUUUAGUGUUUAAUUUUGGAAUUAAAAACUUAAAAAGUUAAAAUUUAAUAUUUUAGUUACAAAGUUAAAUAAAAAAAUAUAAAAAAUGAUAAUUUUAGCAGGAAAAUUUGAAAUAAAAAAGCAUAAAAAAUAUGUUAAAAAUGAAAAAAAAAUUAAAAUUGUGAAUUAGUGGCGUUUUUUCAAAAACGCCACAAAAAAUGAGCUAUAGUGGCGUUUAUAAUAAAAAACGCCACUAAAAGUUAACCUAUACCGGCAUUUUAAAUAAAAACGCCGAAAAUAUUUGAGUUUUAAUAGGUUAAACGGCGUCGUUUUUCUUUCUUCUCUUUAUCCCCAAGUUAAGCCCCGAUACUUAGUAUUUUUUCCCAAAACAAAAUUUCCCCUAUACCCUCAGUUUCCCCAAAUCAAACCCUAAGUUGCUUUCCUCCAUAUUUCACCGAUUGAAGGCUUGAGCUUGGUGUUUCUUCUCAAUCGAUCUUCAUCCCCUUUUUUUAACUCUCUUUCUCUCUCAAAUCCUCAAUUCCACUUCACUCUCCAGAUCUCCACAGGUAAUAUUCAAACCUUUCUUACGUUUUUUUUCUAUUAUUCUUUAAAUUUAUCAUCUUUUCAGUUUGCACUUCUUUCUCGUUUGUAUUUCAUCUUAAAAUUUGAAAUUGUUGUAGAAAUUCAUUAUCAAUAAAUUGUCAAAAUUUAUGACUAUUUUAACACAGACCAAUCUGACGAGCCUUCGUUGUGCUGCUGAACAAUCUGCUUGUUGUCUACGGCAAUAUAAAUCGUAAGUGUUGCUUUAAAUCCUAAUUGAUGCGCAGUUAUUUGGUUUCUGAAGUUCUAUUAACACUCCUAAUCCUGUUACUUUCAUUUAUUUUCAUGGGGAGUGGUGGUUUUUUUUUCCUUCACUGGCAAACAGAAGGUCAGGUAACUUUAAUUUCUAAGUCUCUGUUUACAAAUACAAAUACAUAAGCUUAUGUUCAUUGUUGAACGUAUGGCGUUCCAUAAAGGUUAGGCUGAUUGGAUGGUGCUCUAGGUUUCCUUGCUUAAAUAUUUUGUUUCUUUUAAUGGUAUUGAGCUUUGUCCUAUUUCUUCUCACAAUGGUCUUCAUUAGGGUGACCUGAUUUCAUUGUAUUUGUUUAUUUUGUGCACAAAGGGCUUUAGCUAUUGGUUGCGAAAACUCAUGAGUAGAGGCAAUUUGCAUGGUAUCAAUAUAGGAUGGAUUAGUAAUGAUUAAAUUAAUAAUAGAUUGAUGAGGAAAAUAUAGUUAUUUUCAUGUGAUCAUCCUUGGGGAAAUUAAUAAUUGUCUUUGUUGAUAUAUAUAUAUAAGGGGUAAGUUGGUGAUUAAGCUUAGAUAAAUUUAUAUCAUAUUAGUUGAAUUGAUUAUGGUAACAUUUGUUAUAAAAUAAUAAUACUUGAUUUUAUGGAAGGUAAAAAAACUUUGGUGAAUUAAAGUAUAUAUAUAUUACUUACUUAUGACUUGGUGAUUUAUUGAGUUAAAACUUAUCGUUAUAUUUAUAUUGUGCUCUCAUAAUUUGAUUUCAAUUAUGCUUUAAUAGACCGUUAAAAAUAAUCAAAUGAUAAUGAUGUCGAACAUAACUUAAGGUACAUAUAUACUUGACUACUUGAUUUCUAUUGAAAUAUGUCAAAAUAUAUAUACAUUUGUGACUGUGAAAAUCGUAUUAUAAUAAUGUUAUACUAUCUUAUUUAUAAUAUGUUAUGAAAAUUGUAUUAUAAUAUACUUUGGUUAGAUAUGGAGCUAUAAAAUUUCUUUUGUUGAGUUUUAAUGCUUGAGUAAUGAAUAAGUAUGCAUGGUUAUAAGUAUUAAGCCAUUUAAUCAACUACACUAGGUUGAGUUGACUUGAUUGCUAAGUUGUCUGGAUAUUUUAUUAUAUAAUUGUUUGUUAAACUGAUGCAUAUGAAAAUACUAUAAAAUUUGCUUAAUUUUGCAUAAAUUGAUUGGUGUUCGAAUGCAUUUAAAUGUUCAUUUUAGUUAAUAUCACAUUAGUGUUUUGUCAAAACAUAAUGAUUAUGUCUCGAGAUCCUAAGAACAAAAAUAAUCAAAUUGUACAUUUCUGGGUACAAGUCUCUAGACUUACCAAGCAAGCCUUAAGAUAAUCAUGAUCGGAGUCUUGAGACACAAAAGUUUGUGUCUCAAGACUGUAAAACAUCGAAACUAAAAUUAUUUUUGAUUUUUCAAAAAAUUGUAUUAUCUUUGAAAUUACUACUGCUCUCAAUCAUGGAAGAUACUUGGGCUUACUGUUACUUACUAAGCAUAAUAUUAGAAGCUUUAAUUUUUUGUCUGAGUGUUCACUUUUUUCUUAGUCCAAAUCUUAGUCUACACAUUUGCAGGGUAAGUAGUUUCAGUCAUGGCUUUAUCUCGUCGUCUUUGCUUGCCAUUCUUAUGGUUUCUCCUCCUGUGCUUGAUUUUGCUGAUUCAUUUACAAUCUAAACAUGUUUAGUUAACAAGAAUUUUAAUCAUCACUUUAUACAAGUAAAGACUAAUUUAAUAAUUUUUAUAAUUAAAAUUUGUUUAUUAUAAAAUUCUGUUGUUACGAUUGAAAAGUUCUUAGAUAUUAUUAUUUAUUAUUUUAAUUAACUAUGAAUAAAUCGUAUAUAUACAGUGAAUAUUAAUUGAAGUUCAUUUGUAUAUAUGAUUAGACUUCUGUUCUUCAAAUGCAAUGAGUAGGGAAGUCUCUCGACAUUAUUAGAGAUCAAUCCCAAGCAUCUCCAAAUAAACCCUCAAGAAAACAUUUCCAAUUCAAUCAAGGUAAACAUUGUCUUCCCUAAUAUUUAUGUUUCUUUCAACAUGUUUUUCCUUUUAUGUUUUUAAUGUUUAUGAUGAAAGAUUCAACAUCUCUAGAAACUGAAUCAUGCAUUCACCUUUAACAUGAGGUUUUAGAAAGUUUAAGACUUGAUUCAUCAAAUUGGUUGAACCAUGUUUAAAAUUUAAACAUGAUUUAUUAUUUCAGUUAAAACUUAAUUCAUCAAAUUAAGUUAAAACUUUUUAUUUUUCCGACUUUUCAAUUGAAACAAAGUAAGAAGUGGUAUGGUAGCUUCUAAAAAGUUAAGUGAUUCACAAGGUGGCUGUUAAUUGUACAUGUGAAAAAUCCAAACUAUGUUUAUGAUGUUUUUUUUUUCUAAUAAUAGUGUUUGAACUCAUAUUAUUUUUGCAAAAAGUGAAUAUUCGAUUAAUAGGUCAUAAUUUAAGAUUUAUAUUUAUGAUAUGUUUAUUGAUCAUAAUUUUUUAUUAUUAUGUUCAAUUAGCUAUUUGAAUAUGACGUUUUGAUCAAAACUAGUACAUGGACUCAGAUCCAUGGUUCAAAUAAGUCACUUACCUUUUAAGUACUAAAUUGGACAAAAAUCUAAAUUCAUGUGUUAGGUUCAUGGUUCAAAUAAGUCAUUUACCUUUAAGUACUUAUUUGGAAAAAAAAUCUAAAUUCAAGUGUUGAUUACUUAAUUGGACCAAAAUAAAAUUUUAAGUACGAAGUUGAACUUUAUUAAAGCUAAGUUAAAGUUCCAAGGGAUGAAUUUGAACUUUGAAACAAAUUCAGGUACUGAAAUUUUACAUUAACAUAACCUAGCACAUGAUUUCCAAACUUGUAAUUUCAUUCCAAAUGUUGACAGCAAGCUCUUAACUUUUUGCUUUAUUAUUGCAACAAAAAGAAAAGCUGAACGAGAGAAUGAAUUGCUAUAAAUAUUCAAUUAGCAAACUAUUGUAAACACUUUAUAAUAUGUUUUUAUUGAUAUUUGUCAUUGUAUAUUGAAAAUAUGAGUAAAUUUAUCAUUCAACUCUUAUGUGAUUGAAUUUAUACUAAACUUUGAAUUUUAUUAUAUUUUGCCAGCAACUUUAAAUUUUUAAUUAAAUUUUAUCACUCAAUAUUAAUUUUAAUGAUUUGAAAACAUAAUUUAAUUACAAAAAAUCUUUCAAAUAUUAUGUUUUAAAAGUUAUCAACAAUUUAACUUAUAAAUAUUAAAAUUUUAAUAAAUUAAAUUAGAAAUUAUAUUUAAUGAAUAAAAACUUGAAAAAUAAAAAUACAUGUAUCAAAAAAAAGUUUAUUUUAAAAAAAUCACCAUUUUUAUUUAACUUUAAUAUUAUAUUAAUUAACUUAUUAUUUUUAAAUACUGAAUUAAAAUAUAUAAAAAUAUUUUUAUUAAAUUUUGUUUUCAAAUUAAUUUAAGGUUUAAUUUAUGAUUUGGCUCGUGAAAGCGUAUAUAUUUUCCAACUUUUAUAUUUUAAUUUUUUUUAAGUAUCUAAAGUAUUUAUUAUGAUUAUUAUUUUUAAUCACUAUUAUUAAAUGUAUUUUAUUAAUUUAAUAUAAAUAUAUUUUAUAUUUAUUAUGACUGUUGCAUGUUGCUUGAUUUAUUUUUUAUUUGAUUCAACUUAAGUAUGAAUAAGUAUGAAUUAAUUUUAUUACCAUGUAGCUUGCUUGUCCAUUAAAAUUACAACAAUAGCUGACCUUCUCUCCAACCUUAUUUUAAAUAUUUCAAAGAUUCAAAGUAUAUAGGCUGGAAACCUGACGGGUUGCCUUAUAUCGAGCUGUAAGAUAUAAUGGAUCCUCCCUAGGUGUAACAACGCCACGUAUGAUGAACCUUAAAAAAUUACAUAACUUACAUAACUCAUAUAACUUACAUAAUUUACAUAACAACUUACAUAACUCACAUAACUUACAUAAUUUACAUAACUCACAUAACGUACAUAACAACUUACAUAACUUAACUAAUACAUGUUGAUGUGAUCCGGCUCAGUUGAUUGAGUCGAUUCACUUGAUUGCCCGAUCGUCGACGAGAAGUUUGUUCGAUUUUGUAGAUAGAUGGAGUUAGAUGAUUUUUUUAUAGCGGAAGUUGAGAAAAUGGGUUCAAAAGAUGGUUUGGAUAGAUGUUUGAUAGGCUCGGUGAAAUAAAGAAAUAUUGUUUAUAAUUUAAUAGUUAAAAUGGAAUGGAAAAAUAGAACUCAAGUGAAGAACGAUUCAAUACUAUAUGAAGUAUUGCCCCGGGACUUAUAUUGCUCAAGGUGGAUUAAAUGGAUUGUCGAAGAUGGACCUUGACCCGUUACGAUGAUACGACCAUGCCCCGGGCACACUUUUGGAUCAGCUCCCUAAGCAUUGUUUGCAAAUCCAUGCGAGCUGAAUUAGUUCAAUUUCAUUUCGUUAAGCUCCGUUUAGCUCGUUUCCAGCUUACUCGAGCUCAAGUCAGCUCACUCAAGCUCAAUUUAGCUCAAUUUUAACCCAAUGAGCUUAUUUUUAGCUUUCUUUAGCUUGCAUUUAUUUUGCUGAAAUAAACCAUUUAAUUUGUCAUUAGUUAAAUUAGUUGUUUAUCUUAAGUUAGUUAAUUUGUUAAAAUCUGGACAAAUAAUUAAUUAAGUAUUCCCCAAGUGCAAGAUGAAGCUCAAUCUCAGCUCAACAAGCUCAAUCUUAGUUUUUCCCAGCUCGAUUUAGCUCACAUGACAUGUAGUUUAAUCUAAUAAUUUCCUUAAAAGCAUAUAGUUUAAAGUUCAAAUUUCAUAACUUACAUAAUCUACAUAACUUACAUAAAACAUAAAUAUAUAUCAUAUCAAGAGUUACAUAAUAAACAAUUUACCCGUGUAACUUAUUGCCAACUUUAGACUUCAACAACUACGAAAUGGAUAGGACUUGGAUGAAUUUCUCAAGGGCAAGCAACGAGUAUCAAAAUGGAGUGCAAUCUUUUUUAGAUUUUGCAUUUCACAAUUCAAGCCAAGAGAAUAUGAUUCUUUGCCCGUGUAAGAAGUGUGGCAAUAUCUAUUGGCAUUAUCGUGAAGUUGUCUACGAACAUCUAAUUGUUGAUGGCUUCAUUCGGGGGUAUAAAAAAUAGAUUUUCCAUGGAGAGUGUACACCUAGUGGAGCCUCUUCGACGAUUAAUCCGGGUUAUCCUUAUAGUGGUUACCGUCAGUAUGUUAGAGAAGAUGACAUGAAAGGUAUGAUGCGAGAUGCAUUUAAUAUGCGGAGUGAAGGUUUCCAAUCAUUUCCACCAAACUAUGUUGCAUCCGAUGAUUAUAAUAUCGGUGGAAAUACUUUUAUAGAAACGAGAAGAAGUGUACCGGAUGAACAACCGAAUGAAGAAGCGGCGAAGUUCUACACGUUACUUGGUGAAAUGAAUGAAGAACUUUAUGAGGGAUCAAAAUUUUCGAAAAUGUCAUUCUGUAUUCACCUUUUCCACUUAAAAUGUUUGGGAGGGUGGACCGGAAACUCUUUGACAAUGCUGUUAGAGCUUUUGAGAGAAAUGUUCCCGUUUGCAAAAAUCCCUCAAUCAUGUAAAGACAUGAAGAAAGUGUAAAAGAUUUGGGGCUUGGGUACAACAAAAUUCAUAAUUGCCCAAAUGAUUGCAUGUUGUAUUGGGGUGAUCGAAGAAAUCAACAGUCUUGUCAUGUUUGCGGUAAAUCUCGUUGGAUGAAUAGAGAUGCAAAAGAUGUUAAUGAGGAUGAAUAUGGGCCACAGUCAAUAAGGAAGCCGAACAAGAUUUUGCGAUAUUUCCCACUAAUCCCAAGGCUUCAAAGGCUAUUCAUGUCGUCAAAGACAGUCGAGUUUAUGACGUGGCAUCAUGAUCAACGAACGGAUGAUGGAUUAUUAAGGCAUCCUGCAGAUUCUUUAGCUUGGAAAUCAUUUGACAAUAAAUUUCCAAGCUUUGCAAGUGAUCCUCGGAGUGUAAGGAUCGGGUUAGCAUCUGACGGAUUUAAUCCUUUUAAAAUCAUGAGCACCUCGUACAGUACUUGGCCUGUGGUCCUUGUUCCUUAUAAUUUGCCUCCAUGGCUCUGCAUGAAGCAAUCUUCUUUGAUAUUAUCUAUGAUUAUCCCGUGAGUGAAAGGCCUCGGAAAUGAUAUUGACAUAUAUCUGCAGCCACUUAUUGAAGAGUUAAAACAAUUAUGGGCUGGUGUUGAGACGUAUGAUGUAUUGAGAAAGGAGAACUUUUACCUACGUGCUGCUUUGCUGUGGACAAUUAAUGAUUUCCCGGCAUAUGCGAAUUUAUCUGGUUGGAGUACCAGAGGACAUUAUGCUUGUCCUUGUUGUGCUGCUCAAACGUGUUCACAGUGGUUAUAUAAUGGGAAGAAGUUCUGCUAUAUGGGGCAUCGUCGGUGGUUAGAUGAAAAUCAUAGCUAUAGAUUUUAGAGGGCUUUAUUUGACGGUACUGAAAAGUUGAAAAAAGCUUCUGAGUAGACCAUUGGAUCUGAAAUCUUAUUCAUGUUAAAAGAUAUGGAUUUCAGUUACGGGAAGCUGAAUCAACCAUUUAACAGGCAAACAAAUAGACGAUCGAGGGAUGAAUCUGAUGAUGAAUCUGACGAGGAGGAUACCUUAAUGAGGCGGACUUGUGGAAGAAAAGAAGUAUUUUUUUGAGUUGCCUUAUUGGGAGCAUCACAUAUUACACCACAAUUUUGAUGUGAUGCAUAUUGAAAAGAAUGUCUGCGAGAACAUCAUCCAGACAAUUUUGAACGUCGAUGGUAAAUCAAAAGAUAAUCUUCAGAGUUGACUUGAUUUAGUUCACAUGGGAAUUAGGCGUGAUCUUCAUCCCCAAGUAUGUCCUAAUGGAAAAUAUUGGUUGCCGCCUACAAUUUUUGCAAUGUCAAAGGAAGAGAAAGAAAUGUUCUGCACGGUGUGGAAGGAUAUAAAGGUUCCGAAUGCGUAUGCAUCAAAUAUAUCUCGAUGUGUAAGUCUUAAAGAUCGAAGACUAUAUUCAUUAAAAUCACAUGACUAUCACACCUUGAUGCAAGAUCUACUUCCAGUUGCUUUACGGUGUUGUAUGUCAAAGAAGGUAAUGUCCUGUAUAAUUGAACUGUCCAAUAUAAUGAAAGCAAUUUGUGGCAAAGUUCUGAAUGUUGAAGAACUUGAAAAAGUACAAGAUCGAGCCACUUUGACAUUAUGCAAUUUGGAGAAGAUCUUUCCACUUUCCUUCUUCACAAUUAUGGUGCACCUUGUCAUUUAUCUCCCUCGUGAAGCAAUAAUUGGUGGGCCGGUUUUCUAUCGUUGGAUGUAUCCACUUGAAAUGUGCUAAUUUAUUUCAAAGGCAUUCCACCUUUAUACCUAUAGUUACCAGUUUUGAUAAUGUUGUAUAUGGUGUUUAGGUUCUUAAGCAAAUUGAAGUCUUAUUGCCGUAAUAAGCGUUAUCCGGAAGGGUCGAUUGCUGAAGGCUACUUGGCAGAGGAGUGUAUGACAUUCUGUUCUAGAUAUUUAGAAGAUGUUGAAACAAGAUUGAAUAGACCAAGUAGAAAUGCCGGACUCAAUGAUCCUAGUUUGCCCGAAACUUAUUUAUUUCAAAGUUAUGGAGAACCAAUCGGCAAAGUUGAAAUUGCAGAAUUAGAUGACUGAUCUUGGAUACAAGCACAUAGAUAUGUUCUUUUCCACCACAAUGCACUUGAACAAUUACGCAAGUAAGUUCUAGAAUAUGAUAAAUAUUCAUCUUUUUUUUUGAUUUUAUUAUUUUUUAACGAAUUAAACAUUUUUUUAACAUAGUGAGUACAAACAAGUCUUAAGAUCUCGUUCACGCUCACGAAGAUUACAACAUCGUGAGAUUAAUAGGUUAUUCGCAGAAUCUUUUCAUGAAUGGUUAAGCCAAACGGUAUGCAACUCAACAUUUUAUUGACAAAUAAUAAUGUUUUCUCAUAACAUUUACAAUUACUCAAUUUACUUUUGAUUCAAUAGGUUUGGAGUGGGAAUGUCAUUAAUGACGAAGUUAAAUGGCUUUCUCAAGGUCCGAAUCGAGUAGUAAAAAGAUAUAAUGGCUUCAUCAUGAAUGGAUUCAGAUUUCAUACCAAAUAUCGCGAGAGAUUGAGGAGAACUCAAAAUUGUGGAGUAGUUGUUAAUUCUUUAAUUACAAGUUACGCUAGUGCUAGGGACAGUAAUCCUGUCGAGGGAAAUGUGGAGUAUUACGGACUUCUAACCGACAUUAUUGAGUUGGAUUACUAUGAAAAAUGGAAAGUUAUCUUAUUUCGAUGUGAUUGGGCUGAUGCUAAUACUGCUCGCGGAAUUAAAAAUGAUCAGUUUGGUUUUACAAUGGUGAAUUUCUCUCGAUUAAUUCACAUUGGAGAACAUUUGAUAGACGAGCCGUAUGUAUUUUCUUCUCAAGUUAAACAAGUUUUUUACUCGAAAGAUCCAAUUGAUGAGGGUUGGUACGUUGUACUCCGAAACACCCCUAGAGACUUAUUUGACAUGGGGAAUGGAAGUAGAGAUGACAUCGUUGAAAGAUCAGAAACUUUGCCUUUUCCAGAACAAAACUUAAAUGAAAAUAUCCCUAGUACUAGUACACAAUUUCAAUGGGUUCGUCAGGAUGUGGACGAAGAUAUCUACGAUUUAUGAUGUAGUAAGAUUUUAUGAUUUUUUAUUUAUAUGUAAUGUUAUAAUUUUAACAUUGGUCAUGUUAUAUAAUUUAACUAUUUUAUAUUUACUAUUGUUGUUAUUUCUUACUAAAAUUUUAACUAUUUUAUGUGUUGCAGGAAAAAUGCCUAGAAGAAGAUUAAGAGAUCUUAGUAUUGUACAGAAUACUACAAAUUCGGAAGAAGUAAGUACUGAACAGCAGACAGUUGUUGGAUCUUCAAGCGUGCCGGAGACACUUGACGAGUUUGUGGAAUUUCAAAGUAAUGUUAAGUUUAUUUUACAAAUUGUAUUAAAUUUUAUUACUGAUUUAUUUUUAAAUUUCAAUAUAGUAAUAAUAUAUUAUUUUUCAACUGAAAAUGGUCGGACGCGCAGAGGUCGAGGACAUACGCUCCUAAUAGAUUUAUAUAACUUAAAUUCUGUCGAGCGUGUCAAAGUAACUAAAAACAGCCAUGGUCAGCCUGUUGGACAAGAAGCUUGACUUUUAGCAGGCUAUUUGGGCAUUAUAGCACGAAAUGCCAAUAUGUUGCCCAUCAACUACGAAUCAUGGCAUAACAUGCCUGAUAGCAAUAAAAAUCAAGCUCUCUCUAAUGUUAAGGUAACAAAACGUUAAUGUAAUUUAUAAUACUUUGGUUUAAGUUUCAUUUAUAUUUACUUCCUAAACUUGUGUUUUUUAGGAGAGGUUUGCUUUAGAGGUCUCUGAUGCCUAUAUCAAGAAGGCAUUGGGUAAAAAAUGGAGAGACCAUAAAAGCAUUUUUAAAAAAGAAUAUUUUAAAAAACCCAUAAACCUCGAAGAAAAAUUGCAAAAUGUCCCACCGGGAAUGCUGAGGUACCAAUGGGAAGAUGCGGUUCGAUUUUGGAAUUCGAAGAAAUGAGAGGUAUUAUGUACUUGCAAACUUUUAUAAAUUUUUCGGUUUAUAGUAUUUACUAUAUACGUAAUAAUAAUUUCAUUAUGUAAGACCGUGAGCGAGUUGGAACAAGCAGCAGGCAAAACAAAAAUUUACGCACACGGUAGGAUCGAGAAGUUUUGCUUGUGUAGCUCAGGCCGCGGUACUAUGGAUUUAUUAAUUCUAUCAAGUAUUAAUAUCUUUUUACUAUUAAAUAAUAUUUACUACUAUAUUGUAGGAAGCCUCGUCUGGUCAAAAAGUUGGACGCCUUCAGCUUUUUGACAUUACACACAGGAAAAAAGAUGGAACUCCGAUGACAUCUGAGGCUGCAGAAACUAUGGUAUAUUUACUUAAUAAAAUUUGAUUCAUUAUAAAUAUUUAUAAUAUUUAAUUAUAAUGUUUUAAUUCGUCGUUUUUAUUAGUUUAACUUAAAUAAUGUUAUGUUGUAUUCCUUUUUAUUGUAUAUUUCGUUUCUAACUCUUUAACUAAUUUAUUAGGAGAAACUAAAAGAUAAGAAGGCAGAGUAUGAAGCGACUGCUUCGACUGAUAGUUCUGUUAAUUUUGAGGAUAUUGAUAACAAAAUUAUUAAUGAAGUUUUGGGUCCUGAAAGGUAUGGUCGGGUUAGAUUUCAAGGAUCUGGUGUUAACCCGACCCAAUAUUUUGGAUCCACCUCGCACCAAUACAUGCCUUCCGGGAGUCAAAGUCAAGCUGAAGUUCAGAGGCUAAAAGAUCAGAUAGUUCAGAUACAAGCUAGCACAGAUGAACAAAUUUCUCAACUUAGAGCGGAGGCAGCAGCGCGGGAGGCAGAGGCAGCAGCGAGGAAGGCAGAGCAGAACAGAAAAUACAAUGAACUCCAGCUACAGCUUCAGUCUAUGAUGACUAUGUUCCAGCAAUUUCAAAAUCCCCCAUCUUAGACAUUUGUUUUCUUGUAACUUUUAACAUUAUUGUAAGAAUAUUUUGAAUAUUCAUUUACAAUUUAUAUAAUAUAUUUUUCGUAUAAUUUUGUAUUAUUUAAAUUUGCGGGUUUUGGUUGGAUUUCAUGGUAUAUUUGCUGUUUUUGGUUGAAUUUCUUGCAGGAGGGUUGGAUAUAGGUGCAAAAAUACAUAUAGCAAAACUGGGUAAAUUAGUGGCGUUUCUUAAAAAAAGCACCGCUAAAAGUACUGCAAAUUAGCGGCAUUUUUUAAAAGCGCCGCUAAAAGUACUGGUCUUUAGCGUCGUUUUUUAAAAAAGAGCCGCGAAAAGUCUUUGUCUUUAGCGGCGCUUUUUUCAAAAAAACGCCGCUAAUUUUACCGGCGUUACAUAUAGCGACGUUUUUUGUGAUUUAAUGUAGGGGAGGGUUGUGAGAGAGUUUUCGGAAAAGCUUUUCUUUGAGGAAGAAGAUCUCCUUUCUUUUUCUGUUUUGGGGAGGGCUAAAGGAAAAAAAAACGCCGCUAAAAGUCUAUUUUCCUGUAGUGACACUUGUGGUAGUGGUUUAUUCAAUUGGAAGGCCAUGAUUAUAGCUACAUAUUCCAACGUGAUUGCCAUUUCAUCGCAGGGGAAAUGGAAGGUAAAAGUCUCUAAUCUCCACCUUUCCACCAAGGUUGUAAGCAACAAAGACCACAUUGAAGUAUGAGGUACAUUAGCAACUUAUAAAAAAUCCACUAUGUUUAAAUGGUCUCUAAGUCAACCAUGCACUUCAUUUACUAUCAGAUAAUGUCUGUUACUCUAAAUCAAGAGAUUUCGUUCCUCGACCUAGUAAGUAAAUGAAAACAAAUAAAAAUAAAUCAAUAUUUUAAAUUCAACAUAAUAAAAAAUUAUACUAAAAUUAAAUAUUAGCAACAAAUAAAUACUUGCUUAACUAACAGGUUAAGAAAAAAUCACCCUAUUAAUGAGUAUUAGAGUAAUAUGAUUCUUUUCAAUUAACAAAGCCGUACUAGGGUUUAAAAUAUUAUUUUUAAAGUAAGAAAAAGAAGGAGGAUUUGGAAGGACUUUUUGCUUAAAGAAGUCCACAAUUAUGAUGGGUAACUUUAGAGGGUAGAGGGUACUUAUAAGCACGAUUAAAUUUUUUUUUUUUUAAAGAACUUGAUGCCUAUGGGCGUUGAGAUUCAUUUUUGAUGGUUAGAUUUAGGCAACUGAUUAAAAUUCAAUUAUAAUUAAACUUAUAAGUAAAAAUUUAAAUAAAUAUAAAGUUGUUAUCUAUAGAUGUCGAGCUCCAUACAAAAACUUUAUUAUGGUUAGGUUUACUGUUGAAAAAGUCAAAUUAAAUGAUUGAUUUAUUAAGGUUAGAUUUAAGAAAACUUUAAAAUAUUAAUUAAAGAAGGACUCUACAACCAUCAAUAUCGAAUUCUUUUUGUAUUUAUUAAAAUUUAACUCUUAACUAUAAAAAUUAAUUUCAUACAAAUUAGUAACUUCACCACUAAGUAAAUUUUUUUUCAAAAGCAGCAUUAAAUAUAAAUACAAUUAUUUGAUUUAUACUGAAAUCAACAUUGGUGGUUGUCAACAUUAAUUAAUUAUUUAUCAACAAAAUUCAACACGUACUUCUUUAAAAUGAAAACAUGGGAAAAUAAUUUUAGAAAAAUGCUAUAUUAAAAUAAAAAGAUGUCACUUUAUCCAUUAUAAAAAUGUAUCAUUUUCUAUACGUUAAAUGAAGAUAUUUAUCUCUAAAGAUUUUGAAUUUAAGAAAAUGAUAAUAUAUCAAUCAUAUACAUGUCUUCUCAAAUUAUGCCUUUAACAAAAAAAAAUAUAUAGGUAAUAUUUUUGUUUCCUUUAUACUACAAGUUUUGGUUUGAAUUGGUAAUUAAAGAGGAAUUAAUAUGCUUAAUUUAAAAUUCAACAAAUUUGGGAUCCGCCAAUGCAAAGCAUAAAUGGAAUAUUAAUUAGAAAAUUGCACUAAAUCUUUGAACCCCAUGUUAUAGCUUGAUGGUUAAAGGUGUUCAUCGCUCUAGUGUCACGGGCUGCAGUUCAAAGCCCGUGACCAUCGCACCAAAUGCACCGAUGGAGGUCUAUUGUGUAGAUGGAGAUCAUUUGGUCCGCAAGAACUGGCUCGAUUUGGUAACCUGUUGGAUAAGCCUGUCAGAUUGAAGUCUGGUUGGCCUGAUAAUGAAGAUAUGACAACUUAGGCUAUUUUGGUAACUAAUCUUAGAAGAUUGAUUUAAUCAUAUUUUGAAAAGAUUAGAUUAGAUUUGAUAUGACAUAUCUUGUAAAUCCUAUAAUUUAAGGGAUAUGAUGAAUCUCGUCCGUCAAUGUAUUGAAAUCUUGACCGUCGGUUUUGGGGGAGUUCAACUAUAAAUGGAAAGCCUCCCCUCAUUUGUACUCACUCCAUUUAUUGUUUCAUUAUUCUUUAUGAAUAAGAGAAUAUUGAGAGCAUUUACUCAAACACAUUGUAUGCAUUCUUUUUUGUGGCUUCUUUUGACAUAAGUUUGCUUCCGCUGUAUAAAUUGGUACCUUGAAGGAGUUCUUAAGGAAUCCUCACUUGAGUAAAGGCUGACUUAGGCGAGUUAGGAUGAACAGAUCACCUAAGGCUGCACGGAUCACGAGACGAAAGAUCUAGCCCUAUAACACUAGCUGUGGAUUGGGUUUGAGUCGCACUAAUCACAUUAGUUGUUUGAGUUUUGCCAUCCAAAAAAAAAAGAGAAAUCUUCUUAAAUAAUAAUUAAAUAACAUAUUGUAAUCGGUGGUUAUAAGGGCAUUCGAUUCAAAGGACAUAAAAUUAUUAUUAUUUAUAAUCACUAGUAUUUUUAUUUAUUUCACGGUCUGAAUCUAAUCUUAUUUGAAUCAGAGUGAUAUUUAUGUAAAGCUUUGUCAACAAUGAUCAUCACUUCAUGAAUUGAAUUUAGUUCAAAUACUAAGAAAAGAAGUCCAUUCUAUUUCUAUCUAUUUGUUGAUAGAUAAUCUUUGAUAUUAAAAUUACUUUUAACAUAUUCAUAUUAUUAAAUUAUCCUUAUUAUAAUUUGUUUUAACAAUUCAACCUAAUUUUAAUAACGUAUUUAUAUUUCUUAUUUAGAGGUUUAAUUCUCUAUGCUCCAUCAUCUUCUUGUAAAAGUUAAUAUAAUAGGUAAUACAACAUCAAACCUUUAACACUGAAAAUAAAACAUAGGGGUACAACCAAAUUACCAAAUCAUAACCCUGCAGCAUCCGACAAACAGUAGGAGAAAAUUGUCCGAAAUAGGUUUUUUACUUUUAAAAUUGCAAGAAAAAAAGAAGAAGAAAAACAAGUAUUUUGUUUUUAAUUAAACUUAUCUUUUAUUUGCAUAAAAAUGAUAUUGAUUUAAAAAAUAAUAAUAACAUUAUCGAAAGUUUCAUAUUUCCCUCGUAAUGUAAAACUACUUAAGAAUAUAUGAUAUAGAGAUUACCUCAUAUAUUUCGGAAUAUUGAUAUUGUUGAGAAUACGAGAUUAUUACAUUAAGGGAAUGUUGAAUCAAACCAUUGCUAAUUAUUUUCAAAACGCUGCAGUGGUCAUUUCGAUUAGCACUGUGAUGAACAAACAAAAAUAAAGUAAACAAUAGACACAAAUGAUUGUUUACGUAGUUCGAUCUUUUUAUAUUUGCAAAGCCUAGUUCAAUGACUAAAUUUAUUAUCUUUUUUACCAGUACAAUAAGUGAAUCACAUCCUAACACUCUCUAGUAUAAAAACCUCACUUUUAUACUUAAAAAUUAGACUAGUCACCUCUAAAUUUCCCCUCUAAGAAAUUAGGUUGUAAACACAAACUGUUUACUCUCGAGUACACUCAGAAAAUACAUUCCUUUAUGAACAAUAAAAUGAUCUUUAUGCUUUGUACAAAAACCUAUACAAAUCUUUUAAUAAAUAGAAGUUUUCAAAACUUGUUAAGAGAUCAGUUAAGAUCUAACCCCUUAACUAUAAAAAAAAAUACAAUAUACUAAUAAAGACUAAUGUAAAGUGAACGGUUGAAGAUUCAUUCUUUAAUGAAUCCUCAAUGCGAUAUUGUUCCGUUCUCCACAAUCCAAAUGAUUCAAUUGCUAGGUCAAAACAAAUGCAAUAUGCAAUCUUUUAGGAAAGUUGUUUUAACUUAAUUGGACUUCAAAAUCAAGUUUGCAUAAAUGGAGAAUAUUAGCAUGCACAAAAAAUUUGUUUUAAUAAAUUAUCAACAUCAAAUAUGAUAAAAUUUGUUUUAAUAAAUUACCAACAUCAAAUAUGAUAAGUAUUAGGUUAUCAUAGAGAUGAUGAAAAUGACCACUUCCAAUUAGCAAUUUACCCAUCAUUUCAAAUACUUACCUCAAUAAAAAAAUUUCAGAAUUUUACAAUAUCACUAUAAAUAUAAUAUUUUUUUUGGAGUACAUUCUUAAGUUGAAUCGAAUCCACAACUUCAAAAUUGUGGCAACAAUAUUGGUAAAAAUGCUGGGGCUGUUGGCACCUAAACAGAUGGAAUAUUAAUACUAUAAAAAAGAACAGCUAAAGUUUGUUGAGAAAUUUAAUACGAUGGGGCUCAAGUCCUCGAGCACACAGAUCUUGCUAGUUGAAACGAUGUCGAAACAGCGUUUUUAAUUGAUAUUAGGUUGCAUGUGCACUGAGGUGGAGUAUAAGAAUAGCCGGUUGUGUCUCCCAAAAUUUUCUAAAUAUCUAACUUAAUAUAUUUAUAAGUAUUUAUAUAUCAAAUUAAAUUAAAUUUAUAUUAUUGGAAUAACUUAAUUCUAUGCGUAUAUGCUAGCGAGAAUAUUAGUAAAAAAAUAGGUGUAAUACUCUUUAGGUUCUUGGUUAUUUUAUCCCUCUAAAGAUUUUUUUUUUAUUUUUAAACUAUUUUUUAGAUUUUUGAAAAUUUUUCUCCCAAUAUUAUUAAAAAUUAAGAGUGAGAUUAUGCCAUUUACGAAAAGGAAUUAUAUAUAAUAAAAAAAGGUUUCCUUUUGCAGGGUUUUUCAUAGUUUUCCAAAAUUAUGAUUUUUUUAAAAAAAUAAUUAUGAUUUAAGAUUUUUAAAAAUUAUAAAUUUUUUAAAAAUUUAUAUAUUUAUAUUAUUUUUAUUGAAAUUUUCAAUAAAUUUAGGAAUUGUUUUGUAAUGUUUUUGAACUUUUGAAGAUUAUAUUGUAUUUUUUUGAAUUUUUAAACAAUAUUUUAAAUUUGAAAUAUUUUUAAAUUUAUAGUUUUUAAAAGGUUUUUUUCGCACUUUAAAAAGUAUAUUCCUAAAAAUUUUUCCAAUUUUAAAAUUGGUAGGAACCUAAAAUAGAUUACACCGUAAAGGAGAUCAUUGCAUGUGCAGGCAAUUAAUUGGACCAUGAAAAUACAUGGAAAGGAGGGUAGCUAAAAGAGAGGGGGGGGGGGAGUUACAUGUAGGGAAUGCAGCUAGUUUGAAAAUGGACGCUUACGUUUUCUGAUGAGGGAAUGAAAAGAAGUGUGAGCAGGGCUGCCUUUUGGUUGUCUUAGCUUUUGCAUGUUGGUUAGACAGUAAUGAGUGAUGAAGAAGAGGGUGGGAAGUAAUGAAAACAGGGUAAACAAUUAAUGAGUACCCAUUGCCACAGGGACCACGGUCUGGGAGGCUAAACCAGCUUUUGCUCGCAGGAAGGGGUAGGUCAGCUUUUGACUUCCGGUGAAUCUUAGCUUGCGUGUAGGGGUAACCCAACUCGAAAUAACAUUAAUCGAAUUAAUUGACCUUUCAAAAUUUUUAACUCUUAACCGAAUCAAAAUUAUUUCAAAAAAAUUAACCGAACCGUAAAUUUUUCGGUUAAUUCUGUCGGCUAACCGAAUUAACUGAAAAUUAUAUGUUUUUUAAUUUCUGGUUAAAAUAAGCAUAAAAUUAACCGAAUUAAUCGAAUUAACCGAAUUAUCCGAAUUAUCCAAAUUAAUCUAGUUAACCGAAUUAUUUGUAUAAAAUUAUAUGUUUUUUAUUUUUAUUUUUAGUUUUAGAUUUUUAUUUUUAUUUAUUAAAUUAUUUGUAAUUUUUAUGAUUGGGUUGGGUAAUUGAGUUGGGUUGGGUACUUGGGUUAAUAUAUAUUAGAUUGGGUAUUUGGGUUUAUGUUGUAUUGGGUUUGAGUGAAUAGUAGGCUAUUUAUAUAUUAUAAUUUUAUUUAUUAAUUUUUUUCGGUUAACCGACCGGUUUUGAACCGAAUUAACCGUUAACCGAAAACUCAAAAAAUUAUUAACCGACCCCUGACCUAAUUAAUUCGGUUAACUGACCGAUUAACCGAAUUCGGUCGGUUAACCGAAUUUUUUCGGUUUUACUCGAAUUUUGCACACCCUUACUUGCGUGUACAUUAUAUGCCACUUGCAAAAAAGAGAGGUCACAUUAAAACAAAAAAAAACUAUUUCUUUAAAAAAAUGAAUUUAUCACUUAAUUUCUAUUCACCAUAUUUGGCUCUGUUACAUAGAAAUAGUUUAAGGGUAUACAAAUUUCUUGAAAUUUUUUUAUUCAAAAAAUAAAUUUUGCUUAUAACAAUUAGGUUGCACAUAGUGUUGGGGUUGACAACGAUGGUGGAUCAUAUCAUAGAUGGUGCAGAGAGUCAUUAGGGUAGUGGUGGUUCACACCGUUGAUAGUGCGAAAACCACUAAGGAUGGCGGUUUUUCUAAGUCGGGAGAAUGUUUGAGCAACAUAUAGGCUAUAUAAAUGAUCUUUUUUGUUCACUUGUUAUUGGCGUUGGUGUUGGAAUGGGGUAUUUAUAGGGGAGGUCAAUUUGGCGUGGGUCUCAACCGUCAAGCACUCUAUUUCAUAGGUGCAAAGGAUAAAGUGGAGGAAGUCCACUUAAUGACACAAAUGGAGUUGAUGUGAGAGGAUUAUGAGAGAUAAUCGAAUAAGCAUCGUCAGGCCUAAAGAGUGUUAGACUGACAAAUGAUAGUAGAGACUCUUCGCCAUAUAUCUUUUGGGGAUUGUGUGGGUUCCCUUUAUAUAAUGUGGUACUUUGAAGUGAGGUUGAUGAGAUAGGAACUAUUCUCCUGAAAAGGCUAUAAAGUUAAGCUUCGCCAUGUUUUUCAUUUGAGUAUGGUUGUCGGGUGGUUUGGUGAUGGAUGCUAUAACGAGGGUAUAACAAUUUCCUUUUAGACAAAAAGGUAGGUUAUAAAGUGACUUAGUUGAGUUAAAUCCUUAGUGGCGCUCUUAGGAGUCUUGUUGAAGCUUGAAGCCAGUUUAGAAUAUCAUAAUUACUGCUAUUGCUAUGAUCAUUGCACCUUUGUAUUAAUUUCUUCUUGGGCAUCUCUUUACCUUUUAUUGAGUUUUUUUCCCCAAAUUUGUUGUUUCUUUAUUACCACCGUUUUGCUUGGAGUGAAACUUCAAUUUCCCACCCUACUACUUAUAAUUAGGAUUCUUUUGUGGCUUCAAAAUCAUAUCUUCUUCUUUGCUUUUGAUUCUCUUUCACUAGUUUACAUCAAAAAAUUACUUCUUCUAAUCUUUUUAUCUUUUCAUUGUUUUUCAUUUCCCUUCUUUUUGUCUUUUCAUUUUUUUUUUUAUUUUUCCUUUUAAAAUGGACGAUGAUCCUUCAAGGUUUUAAACAAAUGACAAUUCAGCAGAAGGCGAAGAGCGAUUAUGCACCACCACUAUAACAGAGACGAUGUUGUUGUUGAAUGUGUCAAGCUGCAUUUUUAUAACAUUUCUUAGUUUGUCAAGAUCACAUUAGAUGAGUGAAGUUAUGACUAAUAGGAGGGGCUUCUAUCUCCCAUUGCAAUUAUUUGAAACGGGUUUUCAUUAGCCUUUUUAUCCUUGGUUCGUAAAGAUACUUCAACUGUACAAUAUUGCACAUGGACAACUAUUAGGGACUUCUUGGUAUUUGCUUGUAUUGUACUUUUUAGAAUAUAAAAAGCUUUGAGAAGAACUUUCUUCAAUCAAUUUUAGGAACCUACUUAUCCUUACUUUUGAAGGUUUGCAUGCAAAGGUCAUUUCUAGCCACUAAAUAAUCUUAACCCCAAGGUGAACUAAUUCACCAAAAGUUUUACUUUUUAACCUUAUAAGUAUAGUUUGAUAAAUAAUAAGCUAAGGGACUUCUCUUUUCCCCCUUUAGUGGACCAUUACUUUAUCUACAAGACUUUCGAAAAUUUGUUUGACAAACUUUCUGCUAGGAAUUAAUACUGUAGCCUAUGAAUAGCGAAAGUGAAGUUUGGCAAGGUAUAUGGUCUAUAAGUAAAUUUUAGAGGUUUUGUUUUAAUAAGCGUAGCCUUAUUUGUGCGACUCCAAAAGAGGCGGCUAAGUUUUUCUAUAUGCCAAAUGUUAGCACUUGGCCCAUGUCACAUAUUUUUUGGACAUGGUCUAAAGUGAGACUUGAGUCCUAAACUCGAACAUUAGAAACAUAUGAAACACCUUUAAAAUCCAAUAGAGAUCUUGUUACAUACAUUAGGAAGAAAAGAAGCUAAAAGGAGAUUAAGGAACCAAUACCAAUUCAAUAGAAUCAAGAGUCUGAACGAAGUUCAAAUUCUGAAAAACUCUCACCAGAUAACACACUCUAAUUCUAAUGAGUUUCUUAGUGAUUUGGAUGGUCCUUUUUUUUUUUUGAAAGAAAACGACCCAAGAGUCAAACUCAAUUUAUUGUAUCUUUUAACACUAAAUCAUGGAUGUUCGGUGGAUAAUCCAUGUUAAAGUUCAUAGUACAAAUAUUAUCCUUAGCCAAAUUACAAAGCUUAUCCGCAAUUUUGUUACAAUAUCUCGAGGCUCAAUUAAAAUUAAAACAAUUAAACGAUUCCAGCUGCAUGUGGAUCUCACGCAUGCGAUAGCCCAACGUAGUUAAAUUUGAAUCCCUUUUUUUAUAUCGGUUAACAAGGCUGACACAAUCGGUCUCCAUGUCCACUUUAUUCCACUGUUUUGACCGGGCAAAGUUGAUGCUUUCUUCCAAUGCCAUCAUUUCCACUUAUUCAAUUUGUACCUCCUUAUCCAUCACGCCUAUUUGCCCACCAAAAACAAAACCAUCAGAGUCCCUGGCCAUCAGCCCGAAACACAUUCUUUUACCAUCAACAGAGGCAUCGAAGUUGAUCUUGACCCAUCCCUGUGCAGGUUUGCUCUAGGCUUUAUCCUCAGAUUUCCGCGGCAGCAAAGGGUCUUCAAGCAGGUUAAAAAUUCAAAAAUCUUGGCUUAAGGCCGCCGCUCUCUCCCAGGUAACCUUGCGUCUUCUUCUUCACCCUUAAAGAUGCCAUUAUUUCUACUGUUCCAAACAUUCCAAAGGACCGUAAUAAUAUCAGCAACCGCCUUUUUAUCCAACUCCCUGAAAACAUCUUCAAUCCAGUCAAUACAUUGAGCAUAAUCCCUACCAAGAAAAUUGUUACUAAGGCCACCAUACGUAAGCACCACACGGGCCAUCAGGCAGUCCUUCAUAGCAUGGAUCAAAGUUUCCUUCUCUUUCCCACAUCUCGGACAGGUGCUAUUGAAGCCACUAUGAAUGCUAGAAAUUCUUUCAUACGUAGGUAGGAUAUUAUGGCCCAGCUCCACCAAAAAAUACGGAUUUUUGGCAAGGUUUUUAAUUUACAAACUAUUCUCCAAAAGAUCCUAUGAGGGUCGUAACCAAUCUGUUUAAGAAUCAACCACAAAUAGGCUGAUUUAGAAGAAAAAAUGCCAUGCAGGUUAUGAAACCAAACAGGUUGGUUGUCAAGGCCAUUAUGAAGAAUGAAGAUAUUGCAAAUUUGAUCUCUCAGACUUUCACCAUAGAGUUUGAGAACCCUUUUUUCGUUCUAACCUUCCUUGUUACCAUUAAGCAGCUCACACAUGUUGUUCUCCUUAACCAUCAUUUUGUUUAGGCAAAUAGAGUUACCUGACAGGCCUUCAAACCCCCAGUUAUCAUGCCACACCUUAAUUCUUUUGCCAUUGCCCACGUUCCAACCAAAACCUUCUUAGAGGAUACUCGCAACCUUGGUUAUGCUUUGCCACGUAAAGGAAGGCUUGUCCAUGCUUUUUGGGUGAAAUGCGUCACUAUCAAGAAAGUAUUUCACACUUAACACUCAUAGCAUAACGUGCCCCUGUUGUUAAUGAGGCACCACACUUGUCGACCCAAGAGAGCCACAUUAAACAGCCGAAGAUCCCUGAAUCCAAGGUCACCCAUGCAUUUGGGAUAACACAACCGCUCCCAAGCCAACAUAUUCCAUCCCCUUUUCUUCUCCCCUCCCUCCAACCAAACUCGACUCAUCAUUGAUUGGAUCUUAUCAGUCACUUCUUUAGGAGCCAAGAAAAUCAAAAAGGCAUAUGUAGGGAUAGCUUGAAUGAUGGACUUCACAAAGAUUUCCUUGAUUCCAUAGGAUAAUAACCGCUUUGACCAACUAUUGAUUUUGUAAGCCGUACGGUUCAAGAUAUCCUGAAAAACACUAGAUUUAUUUUUCCCAACCAGAAUAGGUAAACCAAGGUAGCCAUCGAGCUUAUCAACCACCUUCAUUUUGAGUAAGCCACCCAACGUCAUGCGCUGAUACAUAGGGGUCUUGGGGCUAAAAUUCACCAUCGACUUAUUCAGGUUGAUACUCUGGCCCGACAUCUUUUCAAAUUUGUCUAAUAUCUACAAAAAUGCUUCCACCUCACUCCGUUGGUUCCUGACAAAUAAAAGAGCAUCAUCAGCGAAAAAAAAGGUGAUUUGUUUUAGGGCCCUCCUUACUUGCCCGUAUACCCUUAAUUUUAUUAGUUUCUUAGGCAUUAACAAGCAUGCGAGAAGACAUCCAUACACAAAAGGAACAAAUAACGGGAUAAGGGGUCCCCUUGUCGGAGACCCCUUUCUGAAAAUAAUAGUGUUAGUAAAGCUAGUGUUGCACUUAAUUUUAUAACGGACGCUACAAACACAAUUCAUGAUUUUUUUGACCCAGUCGCUAGUGAAGCCCAUUUUAAUCAUCACUGUUUCAAGGAAACUCUACUCCACUCGAUCAUAUGUUUUUCUUACAUCGAGCUUGACUACACAACCCUUAUUGGGGCCUUUUUAGAGCUACGAAGAUAAUACAUGAGCUCGUGAGCAAUAAGGACGUUGUCGUAGAUCAUCCGGCUGGAGACGAAGGCGCUCUGAUUUUGGCUUAUACAAUAAAUGAGAACUUCUUUGAGCCAAUUUGCCAAGACCUUGGAAAUGGUUUUAUAUAUAACCCUGCACAAGCUUAUUGGGCGAAAGUUAGUCAUCUCACAAGGAUUUUUAAUCUUAGGAAUCAAAACAAUAAGCGUUUCAUUAACACACUUAACAUUUUUAGAGCCUUUUAAAAUAUCAUGACAUAUCCUUAAUACGUCCCUUCCCACAAUCGACCAAUGCUCAUUAUAGAAGCACCCAGGAAACCCAUCAAUUCCCGGGGCUUUUCAAGGGUAGCAACGAUCUCAUCAUCAGUGAAUUAUUUGUCAAGAGUAUUGUUCAUGCUAUCGGUAAUGGACUCCGGAACAACCUGUAAAUCAAUCUCCUCAUCCGGAUCAAUAGAAGUCUUGAAGAGAUCAUGAAAAUAGCUCCAAACAAUAUUACAAAUAUCAUUCUUGUCUUCGUACCACACCCCUUGCGAGUCCUUGAGUUUUUUAAUACUAUUCUUCUUCUUACGACCCGUAACCUCACGUGGAAAUAACGGGUGUUUCUAUCUCCUUCUCUAAGCCACUAAUUAUGGGCCCUCUGAGCCCAGUACCUCUCCUGAACAUCAUACAGAUGACCCAACUUCCCGCGCGCUGACUUAAGAAGGUUCGUAGACCUCUCGCUGUUAAGACUGUCUAUAAGAUUGCCAAUCUUUUUUUUAGCCCGUUUAUCUUAUUUUUCAAUCUUUUAUACUUUUGACGUUGUCACGGGCCCAGCUUCUCCCUAACUUUCUCCAUCUUAUCCAAAGUAUCACUCUCCUCGUUCGACCAUAUGCGAGUAAUAAUCUCUUUAGCCUCAUGCUCCUUAGCUCAACAAACAUCAUAUUUGAAAUAAGAUCUGUGGUCACCUCAAUUCUCUCCCAUCUUGCUACCCGUCAUAUUCAAAAUGAUUACCUCAUAGUCAGAUUUCAAUUGGCGAAUGACCAUAGUAGCAAGAAACGGCCACUUUUCAAUCAUAUCCUCCAAGAUAAGGAACCUAUCCAAUCUCUCAUUAACAAGAUCGGGGCCCUUUCUACUGUUUGUCUAUGUAAACCACCCAUUACCAGUUUUAACAUCCACCAAAUCCAAUUCAUCCAGGAUAUCGCAAAACUCGUCCAUGGAGCAUCUCGGCUUCUUUCGCCCACCUUCAUUCUCAACAUUAUUAAAAAUCGCAUUAAAAUCGCCCCCCACAAUCCAUCCUUCCUUAACCGUUCUUUUUACCCUCCUAAGCAUAUCCCAAGACUCUUUUCUAAGGUUUAGAUUUGCUUGACCGUAGAACCCAGUGAACCGAAGCUCAUUUCCAUUGUCCAAGCUGACUAAAGAGUCAAUAUGGUAUUUGGAGUAAUUUUGCAAUGUGAUUUUCACUCUUUCCUUCAACAUCAAAGCUAGUCCACUACUCUUCCCCUCCGAAUUAACAGCCAUGCACCCUUCCAUUCUGCAUAUUGAACGAAUAUGAGAGAAACUGUUAGAAUGAGUUUUGGUUUCGCAAAGAAAAACUAUAUUACUUCAACUCUCGAACUGUCGCAGGGUUCCCCACCCCAUGGCAAUUCCAACAAAAGACAUUUAUUGUUCUUGGCGGAGUUUAACGCCAACCGCCACCUAACUAGGAGAAACGUUAUCCAACCGUCCUCUCUUAGCGAAUAUAGCAGGGCUCUCUCCAAGCUAUCACCAAUCAUUCCCUGUUGUCACUAACUCUUUCUUUUGAAACUGUACCCUUCUGCACACAUGGGCUUAUGAUUCUUUCUUCCAUCGUCCUAGAGUAAGCCAACAUCAGCAGCAUCAAUAAGCAGGGAAAAGACAAAGUGUAGAAAAACAUCUCAGAAUCUAGCAAUCACAAAAAUCACAAGAGAGAAAAAAAUGAAAAGAAAAAAAAAGUAAAAAGAGAUAAAAGCAUAAACGAAAAGAAAACGAACAAAAAAACCAAAGCUAAAGAAACUUAAAAGUAACCAAAAGCAGAAAAGGAAUCAGGAAAGGUCAACACAGAGAGAAAAAACCCAUUGAUCAAUCGCCAAAAAACAUGGAACCCUCACUAUCCACAAGAAAGGAGGGAUGUAGCAAGCCAUCCACCCAAAGAGCAGACCUAAGAAAACACAUUUAUCGGCGGAAGCAAGACAUAAUAGAUAAAAGAAUAAUAAAAAACCAAGAACAAACCACCACGCAUACGAAGAAACUGAUAAAUAGAAACCAAAGGAUAUUUCUACAAACCCCAAAAUCAUGCAGAACCACGUAAGAGAGUCAAACAGAACAUGCAUGAAGGCACCAAAGAAAAUAAAGAAAUAUAAAAAAGACCCCAAAAUCAUGUAAAAACACGUAGAAAUGUCAAACGGAAAUUUAUUUUCUGACUGCCAUAGGUUCCAAUGAGCGAGACACCGAAAAACCCCAAGAAAACCAUACAGAAACGUCUCACGUGGGAUAUAGAACAAUCAAAAGAAAUAAAACUUUUCUGACCACCAUAGAUUCCUCAGUCAUUUACAACGCAAAAACUCGGAUAAACAUAAAAAAAUAAAAUAAAAAACCAACAGAAACAGAGUCACACAAAUCACCAAGAAAAUUAAAGGAAACGAGAAUAGAACAAAAUUCACCAUAGGACCAAAAUAAAAAGCCCUACAAGAAACAUCUUGUUCGUCAAAAUCUACGCCAGACCAUAUCGCAUCAGAACAGUAACGUCAUACAUCCACCGAAAGAAACCAAAAAGACAAAAAAAAAAUAAGCAUCACAACCAAAGUAACACACUCAGAAUCCUUCAAACUGCCAUAAUAUUUACGAGAAUAAAGCAGACACACAAACGAAAAAAAAUAAGAAAACAAUUCACCCAAAUCUUGGAGAAAAACACGCUACUGCUUACUACCAGGCAAUGCUAUGUGGAUGGUCUUAUUGCAAUUAGAAAGUAGGUAAAUACAUGUGCCCAACACUCAAUCUCCAAAUUUGUCUCAUAUGAAGUAUUGUCUUCUAGAUUUCAAGCAUUGGUGACUAAUCUUGAUGGGAUUACAAUUCCAAAAAAAAAGUCUUAAAGGGGCUAGAAUGGAGAAAAGUUAUGAAUGAAGAAAUUUCAACCUUAGAAAGGAAUAAAACCUAAAAAAAAAUAUUUUUGAUAGGCGUCAAAACCACCAAAAAUAAUUCCUACAAAAUAACUCUAAAUAGUAGUAAAGAGUAGUAGCAGGGUCGAGUCCACAGGGAUUGGUAUUAUAAUUAACUUUCGCGUUUAACUUGUGAUCAAAAUUUCUGUCGUGUCAAUAAUUGUGGCAAUAGUCGUGCCCACGACUCCAAACGGAUCUGCUGAAAAAUAAAUAAAUAAAUUAGGGGAAUUUUGAAAUGUUUAGAAAUUAAAUAAUUGAAACAACAUAAAUAAACAAUUAAAUAAAUUGGAAAUAAAUUAAAUUGGGAAAUAAAUUCGAAUUUUGUAAACAAAGAUAAUAAGCCUUAGCCCUAGACUCGGUGGAUUUCGAAUUUAUAACCGAUCCUCGAAAAUUAAUUUUCUCCCCCAAACAAUAAGCUGGUUAUAGCAGUUAAGAACAUCCUAACAGCUAAUUCUUCCUCUCGUAGUUGGUCCAGGUAUGACCUUCAAACCAACUCUUACCGAUUAUCUAACUGAGAUACACGUAUUCCCGAUUCAAGAUUCCGGCAGCCUUGCGCUCUAAAGAACCCAACUCGGAUUAACGGCCUCAAUCCCGUGGGUUGUUUAAACACGAUCACUAUUUCCUUGAUUUGUUCUCGAAGAUCCCAAUACAGUACAGCCGACUUGUUUCCCCAACUGUCCGCAAACACGACUCUAACCUAACACUCUUUUUAAUUUGAAAUCGAAUUAACUUUAAGGGAAGAGUUGUCAAUCCCGAUACUUAGGAAAGAUAGUGAAUACCAAAUGGAAUGAUUUUAGUACGGAUACAUAUCUCACGAUUCUUGACCGAAAAAAAUACCGACCUAAAACUAAGUUAGUAUUUAGUGAAGCAUGAACUUAAUCAUGCUUUGGUUGGCUAUUGAAUGAAUUUGAAUGAAAAUGACGGAAAUUGGGAAGGGAAGGUACUUGGAAAGCAAUUAAACAAUUUUUGUAAAAAUAAGAAAAUGAAAAUGGAGUAGCAAUAGCUACUGACGCAUGAAUUUAGAAGAAAAAGAAUAAUUCUUAUUUAAUUCCAAGUGAAAUCAAGUGAAUCAAGUGUCAAGUGUGUCUCCUAAGCUACCUUAAAGCUCUAUUUAUAUACAUAUGACUUACUAAAUUUGACUUAACCACCCAAUACAUAAUUAAAAUUAAAUAAAAAUAAAAUCAGAUUUUUUCUAAUUUUGACUUUUACAAAGUCAAAAGAAAUUUGAUGAGCCAUUAACUAUUUCCACGUUUCUUUAUUCAGCCCUCACUUUAUUGACUAUGCUGCAAAUUGGUCAUUUUCUGCUCAUUUUUAUCCUAACUGCAUCCCUGACAAGAUUAAAACAAAAAAUUACUAAUUUAGCAGGGACCAAUUUAAGAAUUGAUUGAAUUAAACACAAAAAAUAUGCAAAUUUGACAUGUUAUCAAUUUUUCACCAAACAAAAAUCCAAUAGGAUGCAAAUAGGCUUUUAUAGUAAAACAUAAUCAAGAUAGAAGUGUGGACAAAUUCAAGGUUAGAAUCAUUGCAAAAGGAUUCCACUAUUCUUAUGGAAUUGACUAUAAAGAGACAUUUGCUCUUGUUUCAAAACUCAAUACAAUUAGUACCCUCCUCUCUUUGGAAACAAACCUUAAUUGGCCCUUACAUCAACUUGAUGUUAAUGAUGCUUUUUUGAAUGGAGAUCUUGUGAAUGAGUGUACAUAAACAUUCCACAAUGCUUUGAAGCACAUACCACCAAGAAUAAAUCAUGCAAACUGAAAAGAUCAUAAUAUGGGCUUAAGAAAUCUCCUCAAGCUUAGUUUGAUAGAUUUUUCCAAAUUGUGAAGAAUAAUUAUCCUUUCAAAGUCAAGCAUAUCAUACUUUAUUCAUCAAACAUACACAAAAAGGAAAAAUAUUCAUUCUUAUUGUGUGUAAAUGAUAUAAGCUUAACAAGUAAUGAU